rnacentral:lncRNA from 1 species
GACAUGGUAGCUACAACAUCUUCUUACCAACCUGCUCCGUCACCUCGGCUAGACUGGGGGCUUCGCCAUCCCUUCUUCAACCUACUCCGGAGACUUCAGCGUCAUCAGCAGACUAGCUUCUUCACGUUAGCUGGACCGGAAGCUUUGCCUCGGCGAGCCAAGCUUUACAAGCAUCGCCAGGCCGUCGCUUCACUGCCCAUCAGGCAAUGAGUGUGCGGAUCGAAUCCCAAUUUUGGGAGUCGCCUUUCUUCUGAUUGCUACAACAGAUAAACUAGGUGCUAUUAAUCCUAGUAAAAAAAUUCUUGCUUGGGUUUAUUUUUUCAAAAAAUUAUUACUCUGGUUUGUUCCAUCAUCUGUACACAGGUUUGUCAAAUGAUGGCCGCAUUAACGACGGUCGCAUGGUGGUUCGGUCGGUUUCCGUACACAGUUCGGCGAACGCCGCAUCCGGAACCCGGACCGCUCUACAAAUUCAGGCUUUGUCACGCCUUCAUUGCGUCAUGCCGACGCCCUGCAUCGACAUUGGCUUCGGCGCCAGGCCACAUCUCUUUAAAUAAAUUAUUUUUGCGUAAAGCAAUUAUGCAAGGAUUAUAUAUAUAUAUAUAUUAUUAUUUCCUGGACCGCACUGUUUUAUGUGUGCAGGUAAUCAAUUUUUGACUGUGUUACGCGGUCACCACUACCCUGGAAUGCCGAACUCCUUGCUUGGACACCUCAGGCCCGGGGGCUGGGACCUCGUCCAUGCCGAGGACUACGAACCUUGUCGGAUCUGGCACAGAUCAAUGGGAGUUUUCGUCCUGCCACAAGCCCGAAUCACGUGAUCAAUGCCGAACGCAUUAACCAGCUAAGUCACUUUCAUGCUCAAAGCUUUAAAUUUUUAACCUGUGUUCGGUUCGACCAAGCAUUAUACUUUUUUGAAAAAAGUUGUUUGUGAAAAAAUUCCUUGUCAUAACUUUGUUGGUGACACAUACUCAAAUACCCUUUUUAUUUGGGGCUUCCUUCAUGGAGCUUUUCCUCUUGCAUAUGAUUAUACUUGUACGGCUUCGUUCCUUGUUCGUGUAUUACGCCACAAUAUGCACCAUGUUGACUUAAGUGAUUUGCAAGCUGGGUUGCCUUGCUCCUGUGUUUACCCCUACGUUCCUGAUUGUUCAGCUAGGGAGUAAAUGGAGCACCUCUGCGAUUGUCACGAUCGGGUCAUCCGAGGCGGACCUCAGACUGGGUGAAGCCGAAAGCUAGCGCUCUUAUUGUUUUGAAUAAUGGUUGGCACACAACGGAACUCAUGAGUACAAAAAAUCUAUUGCACAAGUAUCAUAGUAAUAAUGAGCAACCAAAGAAAGGUAUCGGUGGGGGUACUAUUUUCUUCGAAGAUGCUUCUUACACUUUGUCAAUAAUAUAGCAUAAGUUCCCUGAGCGCGCUUUCUCUGUUAUAGCCUUAUGGCCUGAUUGCCUGGUUAUCGGAAACACCGUCGAUAUUCUCAAUAGGUGGAGUACAUAACACUUUUCGGUCCUUGACCAAAGAGGGAGAAGCCGAUGGUCGGUUAAGACACGUAUAAAGUUCGGGUGAACACAUAUAUGAUAUAAGUACUUCGGUACAUACAAUCAUUAUACAUAAAAUUCUUUUACCCAAGUCACUUGGGGGCUCUUAAAAUUUAUAUAUGAGCUGUAAAUGUGUUUUAUUCUUGGUUGUUGCAAAGUCUUUCUCUACUGCUCCUUUUUUGACUCGAAGUCUUGAGAUCGGAUGUGUCAUGUUAAAGCAUGACAGAAGCACAAUUUUUUCCAAUUCUAGGAUUGGCACCGAACACUUGAUCUUGUUCGGACGUCAUGUUUUUACAGACUUUUUUUGGUUUUCCAAGCUUUUGGCACUUUUAAACUAUUUGUGUGUUUCCAGCAUAGGUCUCGCAGUGCAACGCCGGACAUCUUUAAAGAUUCGGCAAAAACAUUCUCGGAUGUUGCUAUACAUGCAUCGGUUUUGAAUUGUGUCUUCGGUCAAUAGUUGGGUUGCCCGGCUCCUGUGCUUGACUCCUAUGUUCCGCUUUGUUCGACUAGGUGUGCAACAGGAGAACCACUGCGAUUGUGCUUCCAGCUCGCAUGGUUAAGCACCUCAGUGGAGAAAGCCGAAAACUGACUGUCACAAUAAGCGCAAACUGUUCAGUGAUCCGAUGACCGUGUUAAAUGAUAGGCCGUUCAUAACAUUGGUCAGAGUGUUUACGGCUUGACCUCAGCUGUCGCCGAACACUAACCGGGGGCUCAUAGCUAUCUUCCCCAGUUUAAAGCUCCUAUGACUAAGUGAAAGUUAUAAAGCCAAGAUAUUUGACUGCCUCCUUUCCGCUAACACAACUGCCUCCGGGCACCGAGACGUCGGCUAAGGGUUGUCUGGUUAUUGGAGAAACACCAUGCAUAGUAUCUACAAAGGGGUAGAAGCCGACGAUGGGCCACUUCCAAUAGAUAAACAGUCGCAAUGGAGUCCAAAUAAGUAUAUAUCAUCAGCAUCUAUAUUAAUUAUACAAGUGUUGCCUUCUGUAAUUAUCGUUAUAUAAAGCCAUAAAUAUGCAUCAAUUUGACUUAAGAUUUUGGCCAAGAUGGGUUGCAUGGCUCCUGUGCUUACCCCUACGUUCCCGAUUGUUCGGCUAGGCGGUAAAGGGAGCACCUCUGUGAUUGUUACUACCGGGUCAUCCGAGUUAGUACCUCAGACUGGGUGAAGCCGAAAGCUAGCAAUCUUAAAGUAUCACCUUGGUCGGCAACAACGGAAGUGAAAUUUUUGGUUCAUUCAUACCAUAGAGUUUGGGAACUUUCCCCAAACUAAAUCCUCAAUAUUUUUCUCCUGCAUUGAUCGGAGGUGAGGUUUCAUGAUCAUGGUUGGCAUGACAACCCAAAGAAAGGAACCGAUAGUGGGACUAUUUUCUUUGGAAGAUGUUUCUUACAUUAAAAAGUAAUAUAACAUAUCUCUCCGCGUACCUUUGUUUAUAAAACCAUAUGGCCGGAUUGCCUUGUUUGUCAUAAAUCUUUGCCCUCAUAAAAGGCUUUAUAAAGUGGGACAAAUACUCCCUGGCUACUGGUCGAGGAGGUUGAAGCCGAUGGUCGGUCAAUAAAGUUUUGUACAAUGCGGAUCCGAGCAUUAAUGAUGUAAAGUACUUGGAUACAUAGAAUCAUUACACAUACUUUGUGAUUUUACUCUGGAUAUCGAUCCUUAAUUCGGCCACCCGUGCCCACUUUAAGGCUCGGGGGCUACUGGGCUUCGUGCUUAUCAUUUACAAAUAUUAAAGGGGUACAUCGAUCCCUGAUCUGGUGUUGCCACCCGACCAGUGUCUCGGGGGCUACUGCAUUGCCUAUUCAAUGCAGAAAAUUCAAAGUGCUCAAUGUUCGGCUUGACAGAACUAUGCGCAAACACGUCUUCGGACAAUAAUAGGUACCAUACUGGUUAUACAUCUCGUCAGAGAUUACAUUGCACAAUUCGGAAUUAAAUUCAUAAAAAUCAUCCCAUGGCCAGGGUGGUGCACCACCUCGGAAGCAGUCCAGCAUAAAGCUCGGGCGCCAGUGGCUGGAUCCAUAGAGGGCAUUUCCGGUAUUAAGCUUAGCUAAACUCUUCCAACUUUUUUGAACCAAGGUGAUCUAUGACACCUGGAUAUAAUCCGGCGUUGGAGCUCGGAUACAGUCCGGCGUUGGAGCUUGAACACAGUCCGGCGCCAGGGCUCAGAUACAUUCCGGCGUUGAAGCUCGGAAGCAACCCGGCGUUGGUGCUCGGCUGCAGAAGACACCUCGAAUGCAGUUUGGCAUUGGAGCUCGAAUGCAAGAGGACACUACCGCCUGAGAACAACUUCAAACCCGAGGGGUGGCAUAAAAAUAACAAGGAAUUGAUAAAGGCCGAGAACUUAAAGGGGCUCCUCGGAUACCCGACAUGUAAGCUGUUUGGAUUUACUUUGGCGAUCCUCAAGAUCGAAGAUGAGCAGAUUUGUUGAACCAGUUUUCAAGAACGACGACCGAAGAUGAAGAACAGUUCGGAAGAAUCGAGGAGCGUCCCCAACUUGAAGACCAGUUUAGGGGGCUACUGACGGUGUCCUGGACUAGGGGGUACUCACCACGUCGUCUCCCGAUCAGUAGAUUGGGCCGAGGACCCCCGUGGCCGUAUACUCAUGGGCCAGUUCGGACAGCUGCCGCAUACAAGGAAGAUUCCACAAGACUUGGUGAUCAAGACAAGGACUCCUCCACACCGGCGUAUUCGGCUAGGACUCUUGUUAUCCUAGGCCUCUGGUGCAUUAUAUAAACCGAGGCCAGGCUAGUCGAUAGACCAUAACAACAAUCAUAAUCAUAGUCUAGCUUCUAGGGUUUAACCUCUACGAUCUCGUGGUAGAUCAACUCUUUUAAUACUCAUAUCAUCAAGAUCAAUCAAGCAGGAAGUAGGGUAUUACCUCCAUCGAGAGGGCCCGAACCUGGGUGAACAUUGUGUCCCCCGCCUCCUGUUACCAUUAGCCUUAGACGCACAGUUCGGGACCCCCUACCCGAGAUCCACCGGUUUUGACACCGACAGUCACGCUACUUCAAAGACGGCGCCAGUGAGAGGUCGCCUCCGCUCUGGCCGGGCAUUAAUGCGGUACUUACGCUCACCGUUUCACACAGGAAGCGCGCGCUGGCAAGGGAGUAUAGGUUUUGAACCGUUUCAGGUGUAGUACUGGUAGUUUGCAAAACUACUCAAUUAUUGCACUCAGCUUCCUCAGAAAUUGUGGUAAAAAACGUUACUCCACAGCUUGCUUCCCUUCUCCUUCCUCUUCCACCGCCCGCACAUGUCCGUGGGAAGCGACCGGUCAACCCUUAUAUAGGAGUGCUAGCACAAAAAGAUGCAUGCAUGACCACUAAAAUUUCCAUAUUAAAGCACCGCUCCGGCGGGAGUAUGGCAUAUGUUGUUACCUUCGGCCGGGCCAUGGCUACCGGGCAAUGACGACUAGAGAAGAGGUGGCGGGAGGGGAAUGAAUGCAGCUACUGUUUGGGUUCGCCUUCCGACUUAAAUAAAUGCGCAGCAUCAUGUGUACCCGCGGGUGCACAAAUUGUAACAUACUUGUCUGCUUAAGUGGGCGUCACGUAACUGGUGUGUGUGAGAGAGAGAUUAUGAGAGACAGAGUGCAUGUGUGCGACUCUACUCUUUGAACAUGUACUCAACCUUUUGCAUCGGGAUAUAAGUAUAAUGGUAUUUACUUUAGCUAGUGAUUUAUGUGGCCAUGUUAACGUGGUUGUGUGAAAAAAAUGUCACUUCCUGCUCGUGAUUUGCGUUAUAUAAUUACAAGCAAGAUUCUCGUGCAUUGCACGGAACAUCAAUAUGCAUUUUUUUACAAAACACCUGUUGUGAUUGACCCAUGCAAGAGUAAUCCCAUGUGUUAAAACUAAUGAUAUCUCGAGAAUUUUAUCAGAAAACUGGUAUCUCGAGAAUGUCAUCGAAAAAAUGAAAGAUGAGAGAUAAGCGAGGAGGAGUGGAGCGUGGUGGUGACUGGUGGUUGGAAUGGGCGGAGGCAUGGGGAUGGACGGCGUCGGCAGGCGGCAACGGCCACCAUGCUAGAUUGUUCCAGACACUUCCUGUUUUAAUUGCUAAGCAAUGAGGUUGUGGGAGAUAAGGAUGUGGAGAGAGGUGCGGGUAUAUUUUGUAAAAUUAUCAUAGUUUGCUUUCUAUCCGUCAAAUAUAGAUCAUACGGUCUGUAUUACAAGAUGGCAAGCACACCAUCAUCGCCAACUUGUUUUUUAUAAAGGUACAGAUGAUAAGUUUGCUAAGUACUAAAGUAAAGUGGAAUUUGUCCAUGUUAUGCAAGUAAAUUAAGGUGAUUGUUUAUCAUAUGGGUAAGGUUGGAUGAAGGGUGGUAGGUAUAAAUGCUCCGCCUAGAGCAUGUGUGUGUGAUAUGGAGUCUUAGUGUGUUUGUGUGGGGUGUGUGUGUGUGUGUGAGAGAGAGAGAGAGAGAGAGAGAUGGAGCCUUAGUGUGUGUNNNNNNNNNNNNNNNNNNNNNNNNNNNNNNNNNNNNNNNNNNNNNNNNNNNNNNNNNNNNNNNNNNNNNNNNNNNNNNNNNNNNNNNNNNNNNNNNNNNNNNNNNNNNNNNNNNNNNNNNNNNNNNNNNNNNNNNNNNNNNNNNNNNNNNNNNNNNNNNNNNNNAGAUAGAUGGAGUCUUAGUGUGUGUGUGGGGGGUGCGUGUGUGUGUGUGUGUUUGUGUGUGUGUCGCGGGGUCCUCUGUGGCGGAUGUAAUUUAAGUGUGCAUGGCUUCAUUAUAGAGAGGUGAUGUGUAUGGCAGAGGCCACCAACGAUGGGGUGCGAGAGAGAAAAUGCCCGUAGAGAGGGAAGAGAAGGUGUGUGUGCGUGAGAGGAGUCGACAUCGAGAGAACGUGUUUGUUCGAGAGACACCGAGGAAGACUACUAUAUAUCGAUGGUGCAUGUAGGCGGGAAUUAAACAAAGGGAUGGUCUUAUUGGUUUUAGGGAUAUAGGGGAAGAGUGAGAGGUGGGGAGGGGGGUAGCUAGAAGGAGAUUGUUAAGUGUGAGUGUGUGUUUUACCCAUCCAGGCGGAAGUUAUGUGCACACAAGAGGAGAACGAUUCGAUGUGGCAUUAGGAUUGAGGGUAAUUAACUACGUAUGGAGACAUAGAGACCUUGAACAUGCAUGUGUGAGAGGUAUACAUGUAUACAUGGGAUGUGUAUGUGUGUGCACGCGCAUGAUCGAGAUAAAAGAAAGAAGACAUAAGUCAUAAGAUCAACGACAUGGGAGAGACGGAUUGGUAUGACAACAUGCAUGCAUGUGAGAAUGCAGGAAAGAAGUCCCAAAAAUUGAGCAUGUGUUUUUGUCUUUAAGAGAUAGUGGAGUGGGCUGGAGCAUGCAUCUAUGGCGAGCAGAGGAAGUGAGGCACAACGAUUGUGCAAAAGAGAUCAACCUAUAAAUGCAUAUGUAUGGAGAGACAUAUAUAGUGUGGGUGAUAGGAAGCAAGACUCCGUGUGAGAAAGAAAUGUUGACGGAGAAACUACAGAUAGAUACAGAGAUGGAGAUGCUAGUUAGAGGGACAUCCGCUAGUUUGGGUGUUGGAGAUGACCGCCGGGUGGUUCAGAGGGUGAAGUUAUAUAUGUGUGUGAGAGGGCACUUGACUGCAUGUAGAGAGAAACAUAUGUAGUCUGCAUGAUAGGAAUCAAGAGUGAGGGCGAGAAAGAAGGUUGGUGGAGAAACAGAUAAAUAAAAAGAUAAAGAUGCUAGCUAGUGUGCGUUAGAGAUAGGAGUCGAGUGGAUCAAAAGGCUGAGUUAUGUGUGUGGGUGUGAGAGAGAUAGAGAGAGGGUGCAUGUGAGUCACAUACAAACAAAUAUCAGAGAGAAAUGAGAUCCCGAGAGACGGAGUUUUGUGUCUGCGAGAGAGAAAGAUAUUUCACAACGAGAGUGAUAGCUAGAGAGACAUAUGAGGGAACGCAAGAUAUCUCUAGGGAGAGAGAGUGUGUGUGAGAGACAUACAAGAGAAUAAUGGAGAAAUAUGAGACCCUGGGAGACAGAGUUUGUGUUUGUGUGUGAGAAAGAGAUAUUUAAGAGGAAGAGUCAUAGGUUCUCAUAUGUAAGGAGGGAACGACAUCUCUGUAUGAGGGGUGUGCGAGUGGCACACAUGGGAAUAGUAGAGAGAAAUGAGACCCCGGGAGACAAAGUUUUGUGUUUGUGUGAGAGAAAGAGAUUCCACAUGGAGAAUCAUAGUUAGAGACACAUAGCGGGGAGCGAGAUAUACUUAGAGAGAGAUAGAGUGAUAAAGGUCGAGGGAGAGAGUACCGUCAGUGUGUUACGAAGAUAAAAGAUCAUUGUUGACAUACAUGUAGCACGAGAGAUACCUGAGAGACGAUGAACGCGUAUAGGUCCAGAGAGAUAGUCCUAUAUAAGCAUGAGUGAUAGCUAUAUGAGACGAAUAUCUGGAUUAAAGGGGAUUCAAAUAUUUAAACUGGAGAUCACGACAUCGAUAAUAUCAUAACGCAAAUUGGUGUAUCAAACAUGCAUAUUCAUUUCAAUUUGGGCACACGUGUAAUGUUAUAUAGUUUAUCAAUAUUGGUGAUCCAUAGAUUCUUUAAUUACAAAUAAUGCAUGGUUUAUAUGCAAUUACUGUCUAAACGGGGUUACACUAUAUGUUGCGUGUGUGAAACACAUUAUACAUGUUUGAGAAGUAAAAAACCCGCAUGAAACACACAUUAAUUGGAGACAAUUAGCAAGGAAUGCAUACAUUGGAUUUCAACAUAAAGUGGUUUCAAAUAUUUGAAAAUCCAAAUUGAUGGAUACAACCUUAUGAAUAUGAGAUCAUGCCAUUUGUAAACCAUAUUUAUGUAUAAAUGGUGUUGUGCUUUUGAAAGUAUAUAUAAAAAAUGAUGUAUAUAGAAUUUAACUCCAAAUGAAAUUGGAUCCCGCCCAAAAAAAUAGAAUACAAACGGGAUUUGAAUUGAGUUGACACGGUAAACAUGCACUCUGCAAAAUUUGAACGAAGUGGGGAAAGUCGCAGUAACCGCCCGAAACCAAAAUCUGCGAGAUGGAAAUUACUACUGCCUAUCCCUGCCACGCAAAGCCUAUCUGCCGGACUUCUAUAGGUUUUGAUAGGGGUAGGUUUGUAAUUUCACCCAAACGUGACAUAACCGCCUCUCACCCGGAUUCAUACACGGUGGGCGCCAAAACACAGUGUGUCCUCGGCCAAAAUCGACUCCCUCCCCGAUUCAUAUUCAUACACGGUGGGCGCCAAAAACAAACUCUCGUCGGCAAAUAUUCGGUGUAUGCAAGAUUACCGUCCUAUCCCCAACUGACUAAUAUUGUUGUGAUGUAGUAGAAAUUUGAAACGGGGGCUAUGUUUGUAAAUUUCCUCGCAUUUGAGACAAGCGCGCCCUGAAUACAUGGUUCCCCCUUCCUCUCUACCUCCCUUUUCCCGAUUCAUACUCUGUGGGCGCCAAAACACCCUCUCCACCCCACCCUCCUCCGUCCGCUGUCGUCCGCCACCCCAUCCACCGCCGUCCUCCUCCACCAUGCCGGAGCUGAUACGCUGAUGAUGCCGUCCAUUACAAGAGAUCGACCUCUCUCAUCCACGGCUUCGGACCGGGAUCCUUGCAUCCCGUCCUCUAGCUUCAUCCCCGCCGUCGUCCACCUUGCCGGCGCCGCUCCUACGACCGUCUUGUCCACCGCGCCCUGCCGCCACUGUCUACCCUCCUAGAUCUGCUUCCACGCUGCCGACAGCCAUCGCUACCGCAGCACCAUCAAAUUCUCAGCAGAUGCGUACACGGCACCGCACCAGAGGCGGUACUCUUUCGUAUCUGCUCAACUUAUUUAUCGCAGCAAGAUAGAUCGCCACUGCUUUACUCUGAUUUCUUAUCUUGGUUGCGAAGUAGCCUUUGUCCGGUUUGCACCUUCAGAUCCGCCAUGGCACGCUCAACACUAUACUCCCAAUGCUUAUGGUUUUCCCCUUUUAUAUUCCACACUAGUUAAAUCAUAGUAGACUAAAUUUCAAAAUUGGGUUAGUCGAUUUUUCAGAGCUCGCCAGAGUUUGCCGGUGCGAAUGAAGGGGCUCGGGUGGUUGUGGGGCCUCACCGAACGAAGAAACUCGACGCGGGUGGGGAUUGGAGUGGGGGUGGGGGUGGGGGUGGGGGUAGCGGAGGAACACAGCCGGUGGGGGUUGGUGGUCCGGCCGGCGGCCCGUGCGGUGUUCUGUAUGGGAAGAAUCAGAGACGAGGAAGAAGAAGGGUUAGGAGACGUAGAAUCUUCAUCCAACCGCCUGAAAUGGUCGAGAGACAGCUGGGAGUUGCAUUCUUAAUGCGCUCUGGUUCAUCAUGUGUGGGCACUGCGCAACCAACAUUUUAUUAUCCAAAAUCUGAUUGCUCUUCUUUACCAUGUUCCUCUUCCGUUCUUCUUUAAUAUGUACUCUCUCUGUUCCUAAAUACAAGUCUUUGUAUAGAUUCCACCAUGGACUACAUAUGGAGCAAAAUGAGUGAAUCUACACUCUAAAAUGUAUCUGGAUACAUCUGGAUGUGAUCCAUAGUGGAAAUCUCUACGAAGACUUGUAUUUUGGAACGGAGGGAGUAUGAUAGUAGUACAGUAUGUUCCUUUUACUGAAGAUGAGCAGGGACAUUUGCAGUGUAGAGGUCUAUACACUCGGUUGUGAUGGACACUUUGAGCCUCUUAGAUUCGUAGGAUUUUGUAAACAUAGGAAUAGGAUUUGUAGUGACCUGCCCACUUGAAUCCUAUAAGAAUAGCAAGGAAAUGCGGGGAGCUGUGUCGCCUUUGAGAGUUACACUGAUAUUAACAGUACCGCACCUUCACUUGAAGAGAGCUGGUAUCCGAAGCCUUUCUAGCCGUACCGGCAAUACUAGCACAUAUAUUCCAGCAAGUUCCACUUUGCUGAUUUUACUCUGAUGCUUAAGGUUUUCCCGUUAUAUCUACACUAUGAUCUGUGUAGCUGCUUUGUGUCGCACUAGCAGCAGUCCACUCUUGAAGCUAAACACUGCAAUGACAUACAAAAUUGGCACCAAGGCAUUGAGUGCCAUUCUGGAUGCAAUGAAACUCAUACGCUCCCCACCUGUUGAGUCUUGUUCAGAAUGUGAUCCUAAUGACUCUUGUUCAAGAUUGCCACAUAUAGAGAGACAACAUGGAAUUGCAUUUCUUUGGGCAUUGAGAUUCAUCAUGAGUGGGCAACCUUGUAUGCAAUGAAGUAGAACCUCAAUAAUAUGUUUCCUCUUCUGUUCUUUAACAUGUUCCUCUUUGUUUAUCCUGUAUUUAGUACGUACAGUAUGUUCCUUGUCAGGAAGGGGUGCAUGGACAUCUGCAGUCAACAGCUGAUAGAGCUGGCAUGUACGUGAUCGAUAGGCUUUUAAUUACUACAGGCAAUACAACACUGUAUUUUCAAGCCAGUUCCACUUUCCCGAUUUAUAUAUCGUGGUUAUGGUGUACCCAUGUUAUGUAGACUAUGAUCUUCCUAGUUGUUGGGUGCUCUUGUUAUCAUGGUUUGGCAAUAAACUCUCUAUACAAUAUAUUAUGAACCUAUCAUCUGCCAACUAUCCUUACUUCUGGAGUCUAUUUUUUGUGUACUUGUGCCAGAUUAUAUAAAUGCAUGCACCAUAUUACAGCACACAUGAGCUCUCUCAUCAGAAUCCAGUGAUAGCACACAAGUGUUUACAGGGGCGCCCCUAUAUUAGAAUAUCAUCUGCAUUACAAAGAUAAUCUCACAACUAUUUAUGUUUUCAUGGUUCUCAGAUAUUAUACGCAAUUACAGUGAAUAUCAGAAUUCGCGCAUCAGAAGAAUAUUGUGGAACACUGCAAUGACUUACAAAAUUGGCACCAAGGCAUUGAGUGCCAUUCUGGAUGCAAUGAAACUCGUACGCUCCCCACCUGUUGAUUCUUGUUCGGAAUAUCAUCCUAAUGACUAUUCUAACCUCGAGGAGUCAAAGGCAGAUGGCCUGUCCUGUUCACCCAUCAAGGUGCAUGUUCUAAUUUGGCAAGGUUUUAUUGAUUGCGCGUAUCUUGCAUAUGUUGUCUUGCAUUUCUUCUACUUUGUUGCACCGCCAUCUGCUUAGCUUACUCAUCAUAUAACUCGAGAUGCCAUGCCCAUCCAUUAUCAAUACAUAUUCCAUCUAUCAUCAUACCAUGUUUUUUCACUCAAAUGUUGUUCUUGUGCAUCAGACAUCAAAAAGGAAGAGGGCGAUUGCCGAACCUGAAGGAGCACCAGCAAAGUCCUUGAAAAACGUGGUGGUGCCGGAGAAAUCAGACAUCACCCCACUUAUAUUGGCUGUACAACCAGUGACAUAAAAUGUAGGACCGACUCCAGCAGACUGUACCCAUACUUCAUUGGCCACACAACUAGCCCCACCACACAGGACCUGCACUCCAGCAAAAGGUAUACCGAUUUCAUUUGCCAUAGCACCAGCCGUACCAUAGAAAAAUCCCACUCCAGCAAAAAGUACAACAAGUCCACCGGCCGAAGACCUAUCUCAACUGCAGAGACGGCCAAUUCCUACAGAUUGGAACCCCAUUCCAUCUAUUCCCAAUCUAAAAGACAAUGUUUUCAAUGUUGUUAGGGACUACGUGCAUAUAUUCCCAUCAUGGGAAGAUUAUAGUGAAGACAAACACCAUUUUCACAUCUUCCUGUCCAACUUACGUGUAAGUGUUAUUAUUCAUGGUUAUUAUUUUCCUAUUUUCUGCUGAUCGAACACAUCAAUGAUUUACAUUACAUUUUUGUAACUAGGCGAGGGUCAAUCUGGAUAGUCAUGACGAGCAAAGCUUGCUUGUGCUUUUCAAGGAAGCAUUGCAGCAGUAUCGGUGUUACCUGAGGAAUUCACACUUUGAUGGCAAGUCUAUAAACGAAUUUCCGGUGAAGUCUCCUAUGCUAAAUUUAGAAGACAUUGAAUGGAAAAACCUUGUUAUGCACUGGUCUCGUUCCCAGGAUGAGGUACUGUCUAUGAAAUCACAUGACUUGAACUUCUACUCUUCCACAUGUGCCUUAUGGAUCUUUUUUGCAGGAAAUCGGCUUGAAGAAGAAUUCUGGUUUGAAAAGAACGACAUGAUAUCGCAAAUAUGCUGCCCACUGCUUUGCUCUUGUUAGUACUUGUUGUCCUGUAUCACUGUACUUGCAUACAUACCUGGUUCAUUAUGUGACAGCAGUAUGCAUGAUAGCUUGCUUAUCAAUUGAUCGCUCCAAAUUAUCUGAUCUGUAUGAAUGGUUACAUUAGUGUAGAAUAUAUCCAAUGCCAAUGAAUUUUUUUAGCUCUGCAUUGUUCUUGUAAGUACAUGUUGUCCUUUAUCGGUGUACUUAUAUUGACAGGUAGUUGUUCAUGUACCAUCACUCUGCAGCUUAUUUUCCUUUGCCCUCCAUUUUCUACACAUUAGAUCUAUAUUUACUCUUACCAUAAGGUUGGUACUGAAGAAGUUUAGUUGUGCAUUGCUCUUGGCUGUGCCUUUUGCCUAUAUUGUUGCACAUACAUUUAUAGCUACUUGGUUAUGUAGCAUCACUCUUCAUCUUAUCUUAAAUAUUCUCCAUUUUUUCGUAUAUUAUCACAUCUAUAUUUACUCUUAACAAAAUGUAGAAUAAAGGCAAUGCUUAUGAAGAAGAUUCCGUGGUAAACUUCUUAAAUUGCCCCCCCCAUCGGCAUGGACAAGGGCUUUAUAAAGCAUGUCUUCACCAGUAAUGUAAGUUUGUCCUUCUCAAGCCUUCAAACUUUGUUGUGUAUAAUUGGUUAGGCAUGACUGCAAUGGCUGUUUAUUUUUGGUGUUUGCAUCAAAUUGCAUGUUUAAAGUUUAUUAUGUAGUUCAUAAAAAAAAGUUUGUCCUUCUCAAUUUAAGUUUUCAGUUGUACAACCAAGUUCCUUCUUCAUACCAUGUAAAUUAAACUAUACAGAGCAAGUGACCUUCUUUUGCACUGCAUGUAUGCUUCUGUUCUUCAUCCGUAAUCCAGUAGUGUGGUGAAUCGACCCACUACAGCAUAAUGUCAUAUUCUGCAAUGUCUUAUCUAUGAACAAUUUCAUAUCAUUCUACUAUUAUUAAAACCGUCUCUUUAUUUGCCAAUCAGAAAUGGGAUAAAUUGACAGCACACUAACCAUUGAUACUUAUGAGUUCUUGAUCUAUAAUCCAGUGGUGUCGUGAAGCUGCCAACUCCUUCACAAUGUCAUUUCCUGCCAUGUCUUGACCUGAACAAUAUCAUAUUGUGUUAAUGCAAUUUUAAACUGUGUCACUUUAUUCGUGAGUAAGAAAUGUGAUGAAUUGUCAGCACUGAUACUUUUAUGUGCAAAACAUGUCAUCUGUCUGCUUGUUUAUCUUUUAGAGUGAGGAAGAUAUAAGUGUUGAACAAGAGCAGUCUCAUCAUCUUGCUCAACUACUUGCGCUGCAGCUCCCCAGCAGGGCUAACCUUUCCUGAAAUCUAUUGAAGUGAUGUCGGUUUUGUAUAUUAUCUUGUCGGCGUGUUUAUUUGCACUGGUGGUGAUCUUUGAUGUCCACUGUAUGUAAUCUGUUGUCUUCUUGUGCUUUAUUAUCAUAGUGUAGAACUUUGAUGCCCAGUGGAUGUAAUAUGCCGUAAUUUCUUUAUUGCAUAGUCUAGGUUUUUUCUUAUUCACGAUGCUCUAGUUAUUUUACUGUAUAUAUAUCCCGUCUUCGCAGUAAACCGGCCAAACGAUAAAAUUACGGUACAUAAUCGGGCCGUCAUGCAAUCACGAUGUAUGAUCCGCAUCAUGGGCCCCGUCAUCUUGGUCCGUUAAAUGGCCAAAAGUAAACUGGCCCACUAGUAGAUUCGGGCCUCUAAUAGGCCGAGUAACCCCCAGCUCUCUUUUCACAAGAAAACUCAAUGGGCUUUUAGGAGGCUGAGAAGUACGUUGGGCCUGAAACGUGCCGAACAGCUCACGGGCCGGCAGCAGCCCGAAAUGGACCCUGGCCCAUGAUUGUGUGAAUCAAAUCACGUGAUUUUAACAAGCCAAAAUUUUCUCGGUCCUUGUUUGGCCCAAUCAGAUAUCGGCUGCGAGCAGGCCGGAUGCAAACUGGGCCGUAGUUAGGCCCAACUAUAUGAUGGGCUUUUAACAGGCCGAGAUUAAUAUAGGGCCGAAAUGUUAAACGGACCCUUAACAGGCUGAAACUAAUAUCAGGCCGAAUUACUAAAUGGGCCUUUAGCUAGUGGUCCCAAAAGCACAGCGUCUAGUUGACGGGCCGAAUCUGAUAUGGGCCAUAAUUUAGCCCACAGCCUCUUAAAGGGCCGGACCUGAUCUGGGCCAUAAUUUGGCCCAGAACAUGGUAGGCUUUUAAUGGGCCAGAUCUCAUAUGGGCCAUUAUUAGGCCCGGAACGUGGCAGGCCAUUAAUGGACCGGAUCAAAUAUGGGCCGGCAUUUGGCCCAAAACAUGGCAGCCAGUUAAUGGGCCGGCCUACUAGGGUCCUCAAAAUCUUGUGGGCCUACAGCUGGGCCGGCCCAUUAAUGUCGGAGAAAUCUCGUGGGCCUUUAGCAGGGCUGGCCCAUUAUGAUCUGCAAGAGUCUUGUGGGCCUUUACCUGGGUCGGCCCAUUAUGGCACACAAAAAUCUUCUGGGCCUUUACCUAGGCCGGCCCAUUAUGGCCCGCAAAAUCUUGUGGGCUUUUAGCUAGGCCAUCCCAUUAUGGUCCACAAAAUCUCAUGGGCCUUUAGCUGGGCCGGCCCAUUAUGGUCUGCAAAUUCUUGUGGGCCUUUAGUUGGGCCGUCUCAUUUAAACUUGAUGGGUCGGUCCACGUGUCAACAUAUCAUAGGCGCGUCUCGCCCAUUGGAUGAGUGACACCUGUGCCAACGCGGACCUGACACGUGUCUCCUCCAGCCAAUGAUGAUUUUACACAUGGAAAAUCCCCAUUGGUCGGGGUUGUUAAUGGGUUAUCGGAUCCAAAACCCGACCCGAUAGCUUAACGGCGUUCCGUUACGGUGGAUGCCACGUGUCGGUCACCCUUGACGAAAGCACUUCUGUGACGCGUGAUUUAUCAUCAUGGAAGUGGACAUUUCCGUGAUGAUAAUUUUGGUAAUGUCAUGGAACACUUCUACGACAGCACAGGUAUGACUAUCUUGAUUCUGUCAUAAAAUCGUCAUGGAUGUACAUGCAUGACAAAAAACGCGACCUACUGUGACAAACAUGUAUCAUCACAAAAGUGUAUUUUUUUGUAGUGCUUUUCUAUCAAUAAUAUGCAAAUCAAAUUCUUGGAGCAAGAGAACCCAUCUAAUAAGUCUAGGCUUAGCAUCUUUCUUUUCCAUAAGAUAUUUAAUAGCAGCGUGAUCAGUGUGAAUAGUAACUUUAGAAUCAACAAUAUAAGGUCUGCACCUAUGAUACGUCUCCAACGUGUCUAUAAUUUAUGAAGCAUUCAUGUUAUUUUAUUAUCUGUUUUGAAUGAUUACAGGCUUUAUUAUACACUUUUAUAUUACUUUUGGGACUAACCUAUUAACCGGAGGCCCAGCCCAUAUUGUUGUUUUAUUGCAUGUUUCACUAUUUCGAAGAAAAGGAAUAACAAACGGAGUCCAAACGGAAUGAAACCUUCGGCAGCGUGAUUUUUUGGAAGAAUAUCACCCAGGAGACUUGGAGUUCACGUCAGAAGAGCCUCGAGGAGGCCAGGAGAUAGGAGGGCGCCCCCCUACUGGGCACGCCCCCCUGUCUCGUGGGCCCCUCGAGCACCUCCCGACCGACUUCUUUCGCCUAUAUAAGCCUACGUACCCUAAAAACAUCGAAUAUCAAGAUAGAUCGGGGGUUCCGCCGCCGCAAGCCUCUAUAGCCACCAAAAACCUCUCGGGAGCCUGUUCCGGCACCCUACCGGAGGGGGAACCCAUCACCGGUGGCCAUCUUCAUCAUCCCGGCGCUAUCCAUGACAAGGAGAGAGUAGUUCACACUCGGGGCUGAGUGUAUGUACCAGUAGCUAUGUGUUUGAUCUCUCUCUCUCUCUCUCUCUCUCUCUCUCUCUCUCUCUCUCUCGUGUUCUCUCUCGUGUUCCCUCUAAGGCACGAUCUUGAUGUAUCCCGAGAUUUGCUAUUAUAGUUGGAUCUUAUGAUGUUUCUCCCCCUCUACUCUCUUGUGAUGAAUUGAGUUUCCCCUCUUGAAGUUAUCUUAUCGGAUUGAGUCUUUAUUUGAGAACACUUGAUGUAUGUCUUGCCGUGUUUAUCUGUGGUGACAAUGGGAUAUCACAUGCCACUUGAUGUAUGUUUUGGUGACCAACUUGCGGGUUCCGCCCAUGAACCUAUGCAUAGGGGUUGGCACACGUUUUCUUGAUUCUCCGGUAGAGACUUUGGGGCACUCUUUGAAGUACUUUGUGUUGGUUGGAUGAAUCUGAGAUUGUGUGAUGCAUAUCGUAUAAUCAUGCCCACGGAUACUUGAGGUGUCAAUGGAGUAUCUAGGUGACAUUAGGGUUUUGGUUGAUUUGUGUCUUAAGGUGUUAUUCUAGUACGAACUCUUUAAUAGAUCGAUCCGAAAGAAUAACUUUGAGGUGGUUUCGUACCCUACCAUAAUCUCUACGUUUGUUCUCCACUAUUAGUGGCUUUGGAGUGACUCUUUGUUGCAUGUUGAGGGAUUGUUAUAUGAUCUAUCUAUGUUAUUAUUGUUGAGAGAACUUGCACUAGUGAAAGUAUGAACCCUAUGCCUUGUUUCCUACCAUUGCAAUACCAUUUACGCUCACUUUUGUCGCUUACUACCUUGAUGUUUUUAUAUUUUCAGAUUACAAAAACCUUUAUAUACCAUCCAUAUUGCACUUGUAUCACCAUCUCUUCGCCGAACUAGUGCACCUAUACAAUUUACCAUUGUAUUGGGUGUGUUGGGAACACAAGAGACUCUUUGUUAUUUGGUUGCAGGGUUGUUUGAGAGAGACCAUCUUCAUCCUACGCCUCCUACGGAUUGAUAAACCUUAGGUCAUCCACUUGAGGGAAAUUUGCUACUGUCCUACAAACUAUGCACUUGCAGGCCCAACAACGUCUACAAGAAGAAGGUUGUGUAGUAGACAUCAAGCUCUUUUCUAGCGCCGUUGUCGGGGAGGUGAGUGCUUGAAGGUAUAUCUUUAGAUCUUGCAAUCAGAUCUUUUUGUUUCUUGUUUUAUCACUAGUUUAGUUUAUAAAAGAAAACUACAAAAAAUGGAGUUAAGUUUGUCUCAUACACUUCGUCUUUUUAAUAUCUUUUGUGAGUAUGAUGAAAAGGAAAAUUGUGCUCAAGUGCUAGAAUAAGAAAUCUAUAGAAUGUUUGACACUAAAUCUUUGAAUGAUGAGCAUGAUUGCAAUGUUGUUAGUAUGAAUUCCUUGAAUAUCCAUGAUGCUAAUGAUAUGCAAUGCCACAAGCUUGGGGAAGCUAUGUUUGAUGAAGAUGAUAUUUUUGUCCCCCAAGUUUUGAUGAGCAAAUUUAUUAUGAUGAAAGCAUGCCUCCUAUUUAUGAUGAUUAUAUUGUUGAAAGUGGGUUUGGAAGAGUGUCAACUUUAGGAAGUAGUGAUCCCACUAUUUUGGAGGAUGUUGAAUCUUAUUGUGAUGAACAUGAAAGUGGAUUUGGAAGAGUGUCAACUUUAUUUAGUGAUGAUUCCACUAUUUUGGAAGAGGUUCCAAUUGAUUAUGAGAACAAAGUUUCUAUCUAUGAUGAUUAUUGUGAUGACUUGUAUGCUAUUAAGAAUAAUGAUAACCAUGAAACUUGUCAUCAUGAUUUUAGUUUUCAAUUGGAUUAUGCCUCACAUGAUAAUUAUUUUGUUGAGUUUGCUCCCACUACUAUUCAUGAGAAGAAAUUUGCUUAUGUGGAGAGUAGUAAAUUUUCUAUGCUUGUAGAUCAUGAAAAGAUUGCUUUAGGUGCUGGUUAUAUUGUUGAAUUCAUUCAUGAUGCUACUGAAAAUUAUUAUGAGGGAGGAACAUAUGCUUGUAGGAAUUGCAAUAAUAUCAAGUUUCCUCUCUAUGUGCUUAAAAUCUUGAAGCUAUGCUUGUUUUACCUUCCUAUGCUAGUUGAUUAUUGUUCUCAUAAGUUGUUUUCUCACAGAAUCCCUAUGCGUAGGAAGUGGGUUAGACUUAAAUGUGCUAGUCACAUGCUUCAUGAUGCUCCGGUUAUGUUUCAAUUCUUAUCUUUUAUGUGAGUGCCAUUUUUUACUGGGGAGUGCUUUUAGGUUGAUUCUUUUUGAGGAUGAUUAAUAUACAAAUUACUCAGGUCCAGAAAUUUAUUACAGAAUUUUUGGAGUUCCAGAAGUAUACGUUUGAUACAGAUUACUACAGACUGUUCUGUUUAUGACAGAUUCUGUUUUCUAUGUGUUGUUUGCUUAUUUUGAUGAAUCUAUGAGUAGUAUUGGAAGGUAUAAACCAUAGAGAAGAUGGAAUAUAGUAGAGAUUACACCAAUAUGAAUUUAGAAUGAGUUCAUUACAGUACCUAAUUGGUGGUUUUAUUUUCUUAUACUGACGGAGCUUACGAGUAUUGUGUUGAGUUUUGUGUGGUUGAAGUUUUCAAGUUUUGGGUAAAGAUUUGAUGGACUAUGGAAUAAGGAGUGGAAAGAGCCUAAGCUUGGGGAUUACCAAGGCACUCAAAGGUAAUAUUCAAGGACAACUAAGAGCCUAAGCUUGGGGAUGCCCCGGAAGGCAUCCCCUCUUUCGUCUUCGUUCAUCGGUAAACUUUACUUGGAGCUAUAUUUUUAUUCACCACAUGAUAUGUGUAUUGCUUGGAGCGUCAUUUUCUUUUGUUAGUAUUUUCUUGCUGUUAUUUAGAAUAAUGCUUUGCAUCUUUAGUUUCAAUAAAAAUGUCAAGGAUAGCCUUUGCCAUGCCUAUUUUGCUAGUAUACAUGUUGCUGUUUGAAAACAGAAAGUUUACCGCUGUUGCAAAAAUUCCCUAGAAAAGUCAGAGAAUGGUAUAAUGUUGAAUCUUUUUUCAUAUUGAGAUCUGAUAAAUUUACUACAGUGGGAAUUUUCUGCCAUAAUUUUUGGAGUUAGGGAAGUAUUGAUACUCUUGCAUUCUUUACAGACUGUACUGUUUUGGCAGAUUGCUGUUAUGGUUGCAUUGUUUGCAUAUGUUUGCUUGUUUAAUGAUUCUAUUUGAGGAUAGGAGUAUUAAAUAUGCAGAUGCAUUUAGUAUUCAAUGUUGAAUAAUAAUGUUAGUGAUUUGUUACAGUAGAAAAUGAUAAGGUUUUUCAUUGGUUUAUACUAACCUAUCUCACGAGUUCUUGUUGAGUUUGUUGUGGAUGAAGCUUUUGAUAAAAAGAGAAACCAUGAUAUGAGAGGAAUUAAGGAGACAUAAAAUCUCAAGCUUGGGGAUGCCCAAGGCACCCCAAGAUAAUAUUUCAAGAAGUAUCAAGCAUCUUAGCUUGGGGAUGCCCCGUUAGGCAUCCCACCUUUCUUCUUCAACAACUAUCGGUUACUAUCGGUUGAACCUAAGUUUUUGCUUCUUCACAUGAGUUGUGCUAUCCUUGCAAUGUCAUUUUAUUUUGUUUUGCUUGCUGUUUGAAUACAAUACCAAGAUCUGAAAUUCUUAAAUGAGAGAGAGUCUUCAUAUAGCUACAUAAUUGUUUAGCUACUCAUUGAUCUUCACUUAUAUCUUUUUGGAGUAGUUUGUCAUUUACUCGUGUGCUUCACUUAUAUACUUUGAGUAAAUGGUUGAAUGAGUUGAAUGUAAUAAAUCUGAAAUUAUAUAUGUUUCAUUUGCUUACUCCAUGGGUAGUAAUGACUUCACAUCUAAGAAGUAAAGGUUGUAAAUUUAUUGACGAUUAGCAAGCAUUGUUUUAGUCAUUUUAACAAUUCAUGAAAGAAUAUUGAAGGAAGAGAGAUUUCACAUAUAAAUAUAUUAUCAUAGACAUCUUUUAUAGUUUGGAGCACUCAUUAAGUAUGACAUGCUAAAGAGUUGAUGUUGGACAAGGAAGACAACGUAAUGGGUUAUGUUUUCUCACAUCUCAGUUAAAGUAUAUUGUCAUGGAUCAUUCAAACAUGUUGAGCUUGCCUUUCCACCUCAUGCUAGCCAAAAAUUCCUAGCACCAAGUAGAGAUACUACUUGUGCUUCCAAAUAUCCUUAAACCCAAUUUUUCCAUGAGAGUCCACCAUAUCUACCUAUGGAGUGAGUAAGAUCCUUCAAGUAAGUUGUCAUCGGUGCAAGCAAUAAAAAUUGCUCUCUAAAUAUGCAUGACUUAUUAGUGCGGAGAAAAUAAGCUUUGUACGAUCUUGUUAUGGAAGCGAUAAAAGCGACGGACUGCAUAAUAAAGGUCCAUAUACAAGGGGCAAUAUAAAGUGACGUUCUUUCGCAUUAAGAUUUUGUGUAUCCAACCCUAAAAGCGCAUGACAACCUCUUCUUCCCUCUGCGAAGGGCCUAUCUUUUACCUUAUGUAUUUUACUUUAUGCAAGAGUCAAGGUGAUCUUCACCUUUCCCUUUUUCAUUUUNNNNNNNNNNNNNNNNNNNNNNNNNNNNNNNNNNNNNNNNNNNNNNNNNNNNNNNNNNNNNNNNNNNNNNNNNNNNNNNNNNNNNNNNNNNNNNNNNNNNNNNNNNNNNNNNNNNNNNNNNNNNNNNNNNNNNNNNNNNNNNNNNNNNNNNNNNNNNNNNNNNNNNNNNNNNNNNNNNNNNNNNNNNNNNNNNNNNNNNNNNNNNNNNNNNNNNNNNNNNNNNNNNNNNNNNNNNNNNNNNNNNNNNNNNNNNNNNNNNNNNNNNNNNNNNNNNNNNNNNNNNNNNNNNNNNNNNNNNNNNNNNNNNNNNNNNNNNNNNNNNNNNNNNNNNNNNNNNNNNNNNNNNNNNNNNNNNNNNNNNNNNNNNNNNNNNNNNNNNNNNNNNNNNNNNNNNNNNNNNNNNNNNNNNNNNNNNNNNNNNNNNNNNNNAUUGGAUGUACGUUAGCAUGAACUAUUAUUGUUGACAUCACCCAAAGGUGAAUACGUUUGGAGGCAACAUUAUAAGCCCCUAUCUUUCUCUGUGUCUGAUUAAAACUUCAUAACCAUAAGUAUUGCGUGAGUGUUAGCAAUUGUAGAAGACUAUAUGAUAGUUGAGUAUGUGAAGUUUGCUAAAUCAAAGCUAUGACAUAGACCCUUCCUGAAAGUAAGAUGAAUUGCAAUUGUUUGAUGACUAAGAAUGAAGUUUCCUAGUUUUCAAGAAAGUUUAUGGUCUAUGCUUUAACAUGUGAAUAGCUUGUUACUUUAUCGUGAGAAGUUUUAUGAGAUGAACUACUGUUAUGACAUAUAAUGAUGCUAGUAAAGGUGAUUGAAAUUAUCAUUGAUCAAACUUGUGCACCUUCUAGCAUUCACACUUCAUAAAUUCUUUCUUUUAUUAUUUACCUAGUCGAGGACGAGCAGGAAUUAAGCUUGGGGAUGCUGAUACGUCUCCAACGUAUCUAUAAUUUAUGAAGCAUUCAUGCUAUUUUAUUAUCUGUUUUGAAUGAUUACGGGCUUUAUUAUACACUUUUAUAUUACUUUUGGGACUAACCUAUUAACCGGAGGCCCAACCCAUAUUGUUGUUUUAUUGCAUGUUUCAGUAUUUCGAAGAAAAGGAAUAUCAAAUGGAGUCCAAACGGAAUGAAACCUUCGGCAGCGUGAUUUUUUGGAAGAAUAUCACCCAGGAGACUUGGAGUUCAUGUCAGAAGAGCCUCAAGGAGGCCAGGAGAUAGGAGGGCGCGUGCCCCCCUACUGGGCGCGCCCCCUGUCUCGUGGGCCCCUCGAGCACCUCCCGAGUGACUUCUUUCGCCUAUAUAAGCCUACGUACCCUAAAAACAUCGAAUAUCAAGAUAGAUCGGGAGUUCCGCCGCCACAAGCCUCUGUAGCCACCAAAAACCUCUCGGGAGCCUGUUCCGGCACCCUGCUGAAGGGGGAACCCAUCACCGGUGGCCAUCUUCAUCAUCCCGGCGCUAUCCAUGACGAGGAGGGAGUAGUUCACCCUUGGGGCUGAGGGUAUGUACCAGUAGCUAUUUGUUUGAUCUCUCUCUCUCUCGUGUUCUCUCUCGUGUUCUCUCUAAGGCACGAUCUUGAUGUGUCCCAAGCUUUGCUAUUAUAGUUGGAUCUUAUGAUGUUUCUCCCCCUCUACUCUCUUGUGAUGAAUUGAGUUUCCCCUCUUGAAGUUAUCUUAUCGGAUUGAGUCUUUAUUUGAGAACACUUGAUGUAUGUCUUGCCGUGUUUAUCUGUGGUGACAAUGGGAUAUCACGUGCCACUUGAUGUAUGUUUUGGUGACCAACUUGCGGGUUCCGCCCAUGAACCUAUGCAUAGGGGUUGGCACACGUUUUCUUUAUUCUCCGGUAGAGACUUUGGGGCACUCUUUGAAGUACUUUGUGUUGGUUGGAUGAAUCUGAGAUUGUGUGAUGCAUAUCGUAUAAUCAUGCCCACGGAUACUUGAGGUGUCAAUGGAGUAUCUAGGUGACAUUAGGGUUUUGGUUGAUUUGUUUCUUAAGGUGUUAUUCUAGUACAAACUCUUUAAUAGAUUGAUCCAAAAGAAUAACUUUGAGGUGGUUUCAUACCCUACCAUAAUCUCUACGUUUGUUCUCCGCUAUUAGUGGCUUUGGAGUGACUCUUUGUUGCAUGUUGAGGGAUUGUUAUAUGAUCUAUCUAUGUUAUUAUUGUUGAGAGAACUUGCACUAGUGAAAGUAUGAACCCUAUGCCUUGUUUCCUACCAUUGCAAUACCAUUUACGCUCACUUUUAUCGCUUGCUACCUUGCUGUUUUUAUAUUUUCAGAUUACAAAAACCUUUAUCUACCAUCCAUAUUGCACUUGUAUCACCAUCUCUUCGCCGAACUAGUGCACCUAUACAAUUUACCAUUGUAUUGGGUGUGUUGGGGACACAAGAGACUCUUUGUUAUUUGGUUGCAGGUCGUUUGAGAGAGACCAUCUUCAUCCUACGCCUCCUACGGAUUGAUAAACCUUAUGUCAUCCACUUGAGGGAAAUUUGCUACUGUCCUACAAACCUGUGCACUUGCAGGCCCAACAAAGUCUAUAAGAAGAAGGUUGUGUAGUAGACAUCAACUUAUCACAUGCAAAUACAACUGCUAAGAAUUCUUUUUCAGUAGUAGCAUAAUUUCUCUGGGAAGUAUCAAGAGUUUUACUAGCAUACUGGAUAACAUUAAAUUUCUUAUCAACUCUUUGCCAUAGAACAGCACCUACAGCAUAAUCACUAGCAUCACACAUAAUUUCAAAGGGUAAAUUCCAAUCGGGUGGCUGAACAAUAGGUGCAGCGAUCAAAGCUUUCUUAAGUAUUUCAAAUGCUUCUACACAAUCAUCAUCAAAGACAAAAGGAAUAUGUUUUUGCAAUAAAUUAGUCAGAGGCCUAGAGAUUUUGGAAAAGUCCCUAAUGAACCUCCUAUAAAAACUGGCAUGACCAAGGAAACUUCUUAUACCUUUUAUGUCCUUGGGACAUGGCAUCUUUUCAAUAGCAUCAACUUUAGCUUUAUCAACUUCAAUACCUUUCUCAGAAAUCUUAUGCCCCAAGACAAUGCCUUCAUUAACCAUAAAGUGGCACUUUUCCCAAUUCAAGAUGAGACUAGUAUCUUCACAUCUCUGCAAAACUCGAUCAAGGUUGCUCAAGCAAUCAUCAAAAGAGGAUACAUAAACGGAGAAGUCAUCCAUGAAUACCUCACAAAUCUUUUUACAAAAGUCAGAGAAUAUAGCCAUCAUGCAUAUUUGAAAGGUAGCAGGUGCAUUACAUAAACCAAAAGGCAUACGUCUAUAAGCAAAAGUACCGUAAGGGCAAGUAAAAGUAGUUUUUGAUCGAUCCUCAGCUGACAUGGGUAUUUGAGAGAAACCAGAAUAACCAUCUAGAAAGCAGAAAUGUGUGUGUUUGGAUAGUCUUUCUAGAAUUCGAUCAAUAAAAGGUAAAGGGUAAUGAUCUUUCUUAGUAGCUUUAUUUAAUUUAUGGAAAUCAUUACCAUCCUAUAACCUGUAAUAAUUCUUUGCGGGAUCAAUUCAUCUUUAUCAUUAGGAACGACAGUAAUACCUCCUUUCUUAGGAACGCAAUGGACAGGACUUACCUAAUCACUAUCAGCAACGGGAUAAAUUAUACCUGCCUCAAGGAGCUUUAGUAUCUCCUUUCUUACCACUUCUUUCAUCUUAGGAUUUAACCGUCGUUGAGGAUCUCUAACUGGUUUGGCAUCUUUCUCCACUUUUAUUUUGUGUUGGCAUAAAGUGGGACUAAUGCCCUUAAGAUCAUCCAGAGUAUAUCAAAUAGCAGCACGGUGCUUCUUCAGAGUUUUCAAUAAUCUUUCCUCUUCUUGCUCUGAAAGGUUAGCACUAAUAAUAACAGGAUAUAUUUUCUUUUCAUCAAGAUAAGCAUAUUUAAAAUUAUCAGGUAAAGGUUUGAGCUCAAACACGGGAUCACCCUUGGGUGGAGGAGGAUCCCCUAGGAUUUCAACAGGCAAGUUGUGUUUCAAAAUAGGACCCUAUUUAAGGAAUAAUUCAUCUAUCUCCCUUCUUUCAUUCAUGACCAUAUCAUUUUCAUGGUCUAGCAAAUAUUGUUCUAACGGAUCAGUGGGAGGCACGGCAAUAGAAGCAAGACCAAUAAUUUCAUCCUUACUAGGUGAUUCUUUAUCACGGGGUUGUCUAUGAAGCUUAGCAAAAUUAAACUCAUGAGACAUAUCCCCUAAGCCAAUUGUAACAAUAUCCUUUUCACAAUCAAUCCUAGCAUUAACAGUAUUCAAGAAGGGUCUACCAAAUAUAAUGGGACAAAAGUCAUCUUGUGGGAAACCAAGAACAAGAAAAUCAGCAAGAUAUUUAACUUUCCCACACAAGACUUCAACAUCUCUAAUAAUCCCAAAUGGCUUAAUAGUAUCUCUAUUGGCAAGCUUAAUUGUAACAUCAAUAUCUUCUAACUCAGCAGGUGCAAUAUCAUGUAUAAUUUCUUUAUAUAAGGAAAAAGGUAUUACACUAGCACUAGCACCCAUAUCACAUAAGCCAUGAUAACAAUGAUCCCCUAUUUUAACAGAAAUAACAGGCAUGCCUACAACAGGUCUAUGUAUCUUAGCGUCUGGCCUAGCAAUAUUAGCAGUUUCACCACAGAAGUAAAUAACAUGCCCAUCUAUAUUAUCAUCCAAGAGAUCUUUAACUAUAGCAAUACUAGGUUCAACUUUGAUUUGCUCAGGGGGUGUAUAAGUUCUAGUAUUACUCUUACGAACAACAGUUGAAGCUUUAGCAUGAUCCUUUAUCCUAACAGGGAAAGGUGGUUUCUCAACAUAAGUAGUAGGAACAAUAGGAUCAUUAUAAGUGAUAGUCUUUUCUUCAACUGUAAUAGGUGCAACUACCUUUACUUCAGUGGGAGGAUUAUAUUUAAACCAGUUUUCCUUAGGGAGAUCAACGUGAGUAGCAAAAGAUUCACAGAAAGAAGCUACUAUCUCAGAGUCAAGUCCAUAUUUAGCGCUAAAUCCACGAAAAGCAUCGGUAUUCAUAGAAGAUUUAACACAAUCAAACCUGGGUGUCAUACCUGACUCCUUACCAUCGUAGGAACCCCAAUCUUCAGAGUUGCAUUUAAUUCUUUCCAAUAAAUCCCACUUGAAUUCAGUAGUCUUCAGCAUAUAAGAACCAACACAAGAAGUAUCAAGCAUGGUGCGAUCAUUGAGAGAAAGCUGAGCAUAAUUUUUUUGAAUAAUCAUAUCUCUUGAGAGCUCAUGAUUGGGGCAUGAAUAUAACAUUGACUUAAGCCUCCCCCAAGCUUGAGCUAUGCUUUCUCCUUCGCGAGGCCAAAAAUUAUAUAUGUAAUUACGAUCACGAUGAACAAGAUACAUAGGAUAGAACUUCUGGUGAAAUUCCAACUUCAAUCGUUUAUAGUUCCAAGAUCCAGUAUCAUCACAUAGCCUAUACCAUGUCAAUGCAUCUCCCUUCCAAGAUAAAGGGAAGACCUUCCUCUUAAAAACAUCAUCGGGUAUACCAGCAAGCUUAAAUAAUCCACAAACUUCAUCCACAAAUAUAAGGUGUAAAUCGGGAUGCAAUGUUCCAUCUCCUACAAAGGGAUUAGCUAGCAGUUUCUCUAUCAUACCCGAAGGAAUCUCAAAGUAAACAUUUUCAGUAGGUUCAAUACAUUGAGGAGCCACUCUUUGCUCUACUAGUCGGGCCGAAGAUACCCCGAACAAGCCCCUCAAAGGAUUAGUUUCCAUAGUAACAAGUGACAGAAAAUUUCAGCACACUAUAUAAAUGUUUCCUUACCAAGUUCCACUCACCAAAGGCGCUUCACUCACCGGCAAUGGCGCCAGAAAAGAGUCUUGAUGACCCACAAGUAUAGGGGAUCUAUCAUAGUCCUUUCGAUAAGUAAGAGUGUCGAACCCAACGAGGAGCAGAAGGAAAUGACAAUAGGUUUUCAGUAAGGUAUUCUCUGCAAGCACUGAAAUUGUAGGUAACAGAUAGUUUUGUGAUAAGAUAAUUUGUAACGGGUAACAAGCAAUGAAAGUAAAUAAAGUGCAGCAAGGUGUCCCAAUCCUUUUUGUAGCAAAGGACAAGCCUGGACAAUUUCUUAUAAUGAGAAAAGCGCUCCCGAGGACACAUGGGAAUUAUCGUCAAGCUAGUUUUGAUCACACUCAUAUGAUUCGCGUUCGGUACUUUGAUAAUUUCAUAUGUGGGUGGACCGGUGCUUGGGUACUGCCCUUUCUUGGACAAGCAUACCACUUAUGAUUAACCCAUAUUGCAAGCAUCCACAACUACAAAAGAAGUAUUAAGGUAAACCUAACCAUAGCAUGAAACUAGUGGAUCCAAAUCAGCCCCUUACGAAGCAACGCAUAAACUAGGUGUCGGUGUCAAAACCGGCGGAUCUCGGGUAGGGGGUCCCGAACUGUGCGUCUAGGCGGAUGGUAAUAGGAGACAAGGGACACGAUGUUUUACCCAGGUUCGGGCCCUCUCGAUGGAGGUAAAACCCUACGUCCUGCUUGAUUAAUAUUGAUGAUAUGGGUAGUACAAGAGUAGAUCUACCACGAGAUCAAGGAGGAUAAACCCUAGAAGCUAGCCUAUGGUAUGAUUGUUGUUCGUCCUAUGGACUAAAACCCUCCGGUUUAUAUAGACACCGGAGAGGGCUAGGGUUACACAGAGUCAGUUACAAUGGUAGGAGAUCUACAUAUCUGUAUCGCCAAGCUUGCCUUCCACGCCAAGGAAAGUCCCAUCCGGACACGGGACGAAGUCUUCAAUCUUGUAUCUUCAUAGUCUUGGAGUCCGGCCAAUGACGAUAGUUCGGCUAUCCGGACACCCCCUAGUCCAGGACUCCCUCAGUAGCCCCUGAACCAGGCUUUAAUGACGACGAGUCCGGCGCGCAUAUUGUCUUCGGCAUUGCAAGGCGGGUUCCUUCUCCGAAUAAUCCAUAGAAGAUUUUGAACACCAGGAUAGUGUCUGGCUCUGCAAAAUAAAUUCCACAUUCCACCGUAGAGAGAAUAAUAUUCACCCAAGUUCAAUAUGCUGAUGUAUUUCGUGGCAUGACGUCACACCACGUCCAAGCCUUUACUUGAAUCAUUUUUAUUGUUCCACCUCAGCGCGUUUAGCGAAGCGGUUUCCUUGGCACGUCUUGUCAAAGCAGAGAUCGUGACCCCUUAUUCCGGGAUUCUCAUCAAUACGGGCGUGGGUAACCCAACCGCGCCCGCUGGCUCGCCCCCUCCAUCGAAGGAGAGUCCCAAACGGUUACGGGGACGGCUCUUGGUAUUCAACCUCUUUAUAAUGAGACCAAGGCAUGUUCCUUUUCUUCAAUCUUCAAUCGAAUCUGCCCCUCGCCCCGAGUUCCAACACCCAGGGUUCCAGAUUUAGGCGCUUCGGACCUUCAACAAUGUCCGGCUCUGACCUACAGGGCCGGUGGAUGCCCUCUUCCGUCACGGAAGAAGAUGUGCUAAAGCUAAGAGACGCCAAGUAUCUAACUGGCGAAAUUUCGCAUAGGAUGCCCGUACAAGGGCAAGUUAUUCCCACUCCUGAGCCUGGUGAGAGCGUGGUGUUCAUGUCUCACUUCCGUCGGGGUUUAGGCUUCCCGAUGGAUCCCUUCGUGAGGGGGAUCAUGUUUUAUUAUGGGCUGGAAUUCCACGACUUGGAUCCGGAGUCCAUCCUCCACAUCUCAUCGUUCAUUAUCGUAUGUGAAGCCUUCCUCCACACCACUCCUCACUUCGGAUUGUGGCUCAAGACCUUCGACGUGGAGCCGAAGAUGAUCGAUGAACGAUAGGCAGAGUGCGGAGGGGCAGUUAUAAGCAAGAGAGCUGACGCUCCAUGGCCCGAGGGCUUUUUUCAAAAGGAGCUCGGUUUGUGGCAAUAGGAGUGGUUCUACAUCACCGCUCCCAGGGGCACCAGAUGGGUGGCGCCGCCUGCCUUUCGCUCGGGCCCUCCACAACGGCUGGUGUCAUGGGUCAACAAAGGGCUUGACUGGGGCCGUCCAAGGACAUGCCAUUAUUGCAGGGCCGUAUUCGAGACCUCCAAGAGAGGGAGAUCAAUCUAGUUGUGGUGGCGCAGGUCAUGCUGAUUCGGUGCCUUCUGCCCUGCAAACGCCGCCCCCUCCGCCUGUGGGAAUUCAAUCCGGAGGGACCGCAAGCUCUCCAACACUUCAUGGGUGCGAUGCCCGUGGAGAUGUAUAAACUGUUCUUCGGAUCACAAGAGAUGUGUCCGGACCUAACCGAGGACACAGGCCUGAGCUGCAAUCGCCCGGAUACCCAAGUAAGUAGUCCUAUGCCCGGACAUGCUGUCCAUACAUUUAUCAUAAACUUGCCCUUUAACCAGCUAUCCCUUGAACAGGAGUGGAUAGCAAAAGCAAAACUGAUACGGUGUCCGUCCCCCCUCCCUGAGAUCACGCCGGAUCCGGUGUUAAUCAAGAUGCUGGAGGUUGCGCCUUCGGAAGAGGGCGAGGGGGAAAACAGGAAAACUACCGCCUCCGCUAGGGAGGCUCUUAAGAAAGGGGGGAUCAAGAAUCCCUCCUUCCAGGGGGAGAAGAGGACCGCUUCUGAAGAUCCGGAGGCCAAGGCCUCAAAGCGGGGGAAGAAAUCUUCAGCAGAGGGACCUGCGCCAGGAGAAGCCCCGACUGCAUUGUUUCCCCAAGGGAAUCAGCCCUCCAGCGAGCCGUAAGUAGAAAGGGGAGUUUUGUAAUAAGGGACAUCCCUGUUUUUAUUUCUGAAUAUAACCAAAGUUUUACCUUGUAGUUCGGAUCUCAGCCCUUCUCAGCAAAGCUCAUCUUCGGGGGAUCUUCGUCCGGAGAUGAUGGAGAGCGAAACGCCUCCAUCUGCCGCACCGUCAGGCGGGGCGGACGACCCUGAGGUAUCGUCGCGGAGGGUCUCCCCGAGUCCAGCGGGGCCGGAGAGUUCGGCACCAACUGGUGUACGGCCGGAGGAGCUGAAGGAUCAGCUCGGGCGAGCGUCUAUCUCAGAAGAUCACCGUACGUUGAUGAGUACGGUGAUUGAAAGGAUUUCAUCCACUGAGAGCGGGUUGCAUGAGGCCGUCAGAAGUUUACUGACGGGGUUUGAGGUACGCGAAAAAUGAUAUACCUUUUGACAGUUUUGCGCAUAGAAUGCGCCCUGUAUAGAUAGUAGCCCCUGAGACUCAGUACGUUGUCAAAGGUGACAGCGUGCCGAGGAUCAUAGUCUCAGUUGUAAGAUGUCGCCUUUCCUAUAUAGGUGGCGGAGCGUUCAGUGGCCAGCCGGACUGAUGGAUUUGCCGAACUGAAGCGGCAACUUGACGUUGCGGAUGUGGACAUCGCGCUGGUCAAUAAGCGACUUGACGAGUCACAAGGUAUGUGGCUUCUCCGCGGACGCCUUGUAAGGGAGCUUGACGCUCGUGCCUUACGACGUGUAUGCUUAAUGCAGAUGGCGCCGCUGCUAUGGAGGACCUUCGGGCAGAGCUUGCCCGAGCCAAGGAGCAAGCCAGGAAAAGUAAUGUGGCUGCCUUGAAGGCGGCCGAAGAGCUAAAAGCCGAACAGGCUGCUCACUGCCGAAGCAGGGAGGAAAUGGCCGAAAUGGCCGUGAAGCUGAAGGAUGCUACCGACCGCUAUGAGUUUCUUGAAAGAGAACGCCGAGCGGAGCAAGAGGACCUGAAGAAGGCCACCGCCGAAGCCAAGGAUGUCCGCUCCGCGAUGAGGGCUAUAAAGGAGGAGCUACGUCAGGCCAGGGAUAUUGCGGCUGGAAAGCCUUUUCUGCUGCGUAGGAAAUUCACGGAUCCGAAGUAUGCUCAGUUAGGCCAGUUGUGGGGUGCGGAGGAUGCUUAUCUAAAUUUGGCAGCGAGUGCCGCAGACGUGGUCGCACACUUCCGGGGCCAAAAGGAUCAUGGAAUGGAAGAGCUUUUUUGGUCGCAAUUCCAUAGUCCGGAGCGUCCACUUCCGUUAACUGAUCGGUUAGCCAAGUGGGCUGAGCUGAAUAGGUUGUCCGGACUUGCCAUGAAAGAUGUCGUGGCUCAUUUGUGGCCGGAAAGGCCCGAGCCGAAGACUUAUUUUGGCUUGGUGCAGCAGUUCCUUGAUGCAGUGCCGCAUAUCAAGGCGAUGAAGCGGUCGGCAUGCAUAGAGGGUGCACGGAUGGCUCUCGCCCGUGUCAAAACAUACUGGACGGAGAUGGAGGCCACCGACGUUGCAUCCCAGGACUCGGACAAAAGCCGAUUACCAGCCGAGCACUAUUUUGAGGAAGUCCUACAGGGCGCUCGUUUAAUAGAGUCGCAGUGCUCGAAAAAUGUUAUGUUCAAAUGACAUGUAUGAUUUGUGAAACCAUGUUUCAAAUAUAAUAUAAGGCCUUUUAUACUUGGGCAUUCAAGUGUUGAAAUACCUCCUGUGCGCCAUUAACGUAUAUGUGUAUAUAACCUGAAAGAUGGCAGUCUUCGACUUCAGCCCCCAUGCACAUAGUGCGGGGGUGUUUGCAAAAAAAGUGCAUUUUCACACUUAAUCCAACGUCUUGGUCCUGUGAAGGAGGUGAUAGCGUAGAAAACUAGGCAACCGGACUAUAAUGCUUUAUCACUUUCACUUAGCCAUAGGAGUUCGAUGGUGGGGCUACUAUAUAGCCCCCAGGUGCACUGCACUCUCCGAAUUUCGGGGCGCGUAUGUGCCUGACCGGGAAAUGGUCCUUCGUUAAAGCGGAUGAAUUCUAAACAUUCCGUUGGUCGAUUGAGUGGUUGACCAGUCUCUCGCUAUAUCAUGACAGUCAGUUUUCGGCUUUCUCUACUGAGGUGCUCACCUGGAUGAACCGGGGCACAAUCGUAGUAGUUCUCCUGGUGCCGCGUUAGCCGAUAGAGCGGAACGUAAGGCAACAAAACACAGGAGCCAGGCAAACCCAACAUUUGACCAAAGACAUGAUUCGGAGCUGAUGCAUAUAAGGCCUAACUCGAGACGCCGAACACUCCCUAAGGUAUUUGGUCUUUAUGAAAACGGGCAGAACAAUGCCCUAAGCCCCUAGUGUCCAGGUACGCGCAAAAAUUUCUGACGCCACUGAUGCCAAAACACCAGAUUCCUCCUUGGUUAUAGCAAAAAACCGGGGGAUGUGUAUCAACAAGAGAUAGUAAAAAGGGUUUACGCAGGGUCUUAAUCUAAAAAGAAUCCUUGCAACGGGUCCCUACUGCACGUCUGCGCCUGUGUCUCCGUUGUGCCGUAUCCUGGACGUGUGUCGCACGGUGUUCAUCUGUAAAAGAGGAGAACUUAGUUGAAAAAGAGUCUGUGCGAAAGAUGUAUUUUGAAAUAAACAGAGUAUGAUUCAAAGAAUGAAUAAAAUUGAGAUUUAUUAUCUCUUUUUGUGCAUGCGUGGAGCCCCUUGUAAAGGGGUACGCGGCUAGUAAGCCCCUUGUUUAUUUAUACCGGACUCGCCUAACCGUGUCCGUGGUCUUGAAUGACCUAUUUAGGGGCUUUGAUCAGCAAAGCCGGAUUAGUGUGUGGCUGUCAAGGCAGUCUCACGUUCUUCCGUAGUCGAGGAACACUCGAAGUUACCCUUUAAUGAGAUGAUGUCGCGUGGACCGGGCAUUUUGAGUGUAAGAGACGCGUAAUGCGGUAUUGCGUUAAAACGGGAAAAAGCUUCGCGUCCCAAUAGUGCUUGAUAGCUACUUUUAAAUGUGGCGAUGUGGAAGAUUAACUUUUCGCGACGGAAGUUGUCAGAUGAGCCGAACACAACUUCUAGUGGUAGAGAGCCCGUACAAUGGGCAUAUUGGACUGGCAUCACUCCUUUAAAGGAAGUGUUGCUAUGGCGUAUUUUGGUUGGGUCUAUCCCCAUUCUGCGGAUUGUAUCCUGAUAUAGCAGGUUUAGAUCACUACCACCGUCCAUUAGGACCUGUGUAAAUUGUAGUCCGUUGAUUACAGGAUUUAAUAUCAAAGCAGUCCAUCCUGCGUUCCGGAUAUUCCCGGAGUAAUCCUGAUGGUCGAAAGUGAUUGGUUUUGACAUCCAGUGUCGGGACUCUGCUGGGGUGGACCGUGCGGUGCGUACUUUAAUGGGCGCCGCUCUAUUUUUUGCUGUUGUCACUUGAAGUGAAUUUACUGUUUUGACCUCUUAUGGGAAAUCCUUUUGUUUUCCGGUGCUCUGCUUGUGAGGUUCGUCAUCGUCCUCACUUGGUGUGUCUAGCCUCUUGUGUUCGGCGUUAAGUCGGCCGGACUGCUUGAAGACCCAACAAUCUCUGUGGGUAUGGUUUGCAGGCCUCCUGGGGGUACUGUGGAUUUGGCAUAUCUUGUCCAAGAUUUUGUUUAGGUUGGAUAACUCGUCGCUGUUCUCCUUGAGAGGCAGUUUUUUGUUGUUCUACCGAGAGCUUUUGAAUCCGACGUUGACUGUCGUGCUCUUUGGACCAUUUCCUUUAGUCCGGUGCUGGUCCUUGUUGCGCCAUGGUUUCCCAUUUUCAUCUCUGACCUCGGAUGUACUUGGGUCGCUGGUGCUACAUCUUGCCAGCCAGCUAUCCUCUCCCACGCAAAAGCGGGUCAUGAGGCUUAUUAGUGCGGCCAUUGUUCUUGGCUUUUCCUGGCCGAGGUGUCUGGCGAGCCAUUCGUCUCGGACGUUGUGCUUGAAAGCUGCUAAGGCUUCAGCGUCCGGACAGUCGACUAUCUAGUUCUUUUUGGUGAGGAACCUGUUCCAGAAUUUGCGGGCUGACUCUCCGAGCUGUUGAGUUAUGUGACUUAAAUCGUCUGCAUCCGGAGGGCAGACGUAAGUCCCCUGAAAAUUUGCCCGAAAUGCGUCCUCGAGCUCUUCCCAACUUCCAAUGGUAUUUUCUGGGAGGCUUUUGAGCCAGUGCCGGGCUGGCCCUUUGAGUUUGAGGGGUAAGUAUUUUAUGGCGUGGAGGUCAUCUCCUCUAGCCAUAUGUAUGUGCAGGAUGUAAUCCUCAAUCCAGACUCCAGGGUCUGUUGUUUCGUCGUACGCCUCUAUAUUUACGGGCUUGAAUCCCGUUGGAAAUUCAUGAUCCAGCACCUCAUCGGUGAAACAUAGGGGGUGUGCGGCGCCCCUGUAUUUGGGUGUGCCGUGAUUUUCAAAUACUCGACGUGUUGUGUUACCUUCUGGAGCUUGCUUUCUUGGCCCAUAGAUGGAUCUAACCGGGCCAUCCUUUUUGCGAGGAUCCUUAUGUGGAUCGCGUGCCGAUUUGUGUGCGGUGUCGCUUGCCGCUCUUUGUUUGUCAUGUGGUCAUUUAUCCGACCGGGCGGCCUCUUUCUUUUUUGAUUUUUAGGGCUCUACGGCCUCCUCGUCAAACUCGGGCAACAGUUUGCGCUUCGGGUAGCUCUUUGCUUGGCGACUAUCGCCGUAUUUGUCUGCGGUCUUGAGUACUUUGCUCCAUCUCAUUCUGAGUACGUCUUCCGCUGUUUUGAGCUUCCGCUUUUGCUUCUUCAGGCUUCGUGCAGUGGCGAUGAGCCUUUUGUGGAGGUUCUUCUGCUCCAACGAUGUGUCCGGCGUGAGAUCAUCCGGACUGUUGUUUUCGUCGGAGAUGGGUUGCCUCUCCAAUUCAUCCUGUUCGGAUGGUUGCUUGGGGGCAUGUUCGUCGUCCACUGGUUCGCCCUGCUCUAUGGCUGGGUCUUCAUGGGUGCUGCCGCUGUCGAGGUGGGACUUUGGGCGGCGCUUGCGUCGCCGUUUUGGCUGUUUUUCGAGGGAAUUUUCCUUCGCAGCGUCCCGUUGUUUCUCGUUAUCGCUUCCUUUGGGUGUAUCCACCAUAUAUAUAUCGUGAGUUGAGGUGGCUUUCCAGUGCUCUAUGGGCGCUGGUUCUUGGUCGUCUCCGGCAUCGUCGUCCAUACCAUCGAUAUCUUCGGAGUCGGGAUCUAGCAUGUCGGUUAGAUCCUCGACAGUGGCUACAAAGUGGAUGGUGGGUGUGCUUUGAAUUUCUUCGUCGUCCACAUCCUAACCGUCCUGACCGUAGUCCGGCCAGGGCUCUCCUGAUAACGAGAGAUACUUUAGCGAAUUCAGGAUGUCACCAAAAGGCGAGUGCUGAAAGAUGUCCGCAGCGGUGAACUCCAUGAUCGGCACCCAGUCGGAUUCGAUUGGUAGGGGCGCGGGAGGUUUGGACUCCGGCGAGGAGUCCGUCACCUCGGAGUCACGAGCUUCACAAGGGACAGGGUCGGUAUUCGGCUCUAUCGCCAUAGAGGUAGCAGCCCCCGAGGCGGUGUCUAGGCACCCAUCCUCGAUCGGCGCAGUCGGCUCCGAGUUAAGGGUCGAAGCUGACUCUUGUGCGGCCUCCAGGGCAUUGUCCGGCAGCAGAGCUAGGUUAUGCCCAUCGUGACAGUGUGGCGCGCUCGGCUGUGGCUCGAAUCCGUCGAAGAUCAAGUCUCCGCGGUGUCGGCUGUGAAGUUCAAAUUUCCAAAUCUGACCUGAUGCCCAGGGGCGUAGCUUUCGAUCUGCUCCAGACGGCCAAGCGAAUUGGUCCGCAGUGCGAAGCCGCCGAAUACAAAGAUCUGUCCGGGGAGAAAAGUCUCACCCUGGACCGAGUUGUUGUUGAUGAUCGAAGGAGCCAUCGGGCCUAUGAGUGAUGACACAGAGGAACUCUCAAUGAAAGCACUAAUGUCGGUGUCAAAACCGGCGGAUCUCGGGUAGGGGGUCCCGAAUUGUGCGUCUAGGCGGAUGGUAACAGGAGACAAGGGACACGAUGUUUUACCCAGGUUCGGGCCCUCUCGAUGGAGGUAAAACCCUACGUCCUGCUUGAUUAAUAUUGAUGAUAUGGGUAGUGAGUAGAUCUACCACGAGAUCAAGGAGGCUAAACCCUAGAAGCUAGCCUAUGGUAUGAUUGUUGUUCGUCCUAUGGACUAAAACCCUCCGGUUUAUAUAGACAGCGGAGAGUGCUAGGGUUACACAGAGUCGGUUACAAUGGUAGGAGAUCUACAUAUCCGUAUCGCCAAGCUUGCCUUCCACGCCAAGGAAAGUCACAUCCGGACACGGGACGAAGUCUUCAAUCUUGUAUCUUCAUAGUCUUGGAGUCCGGCCAAUGAUGAUAGUUCGGCUAUCCGGACACCCCCUAGUCCAGGACUCCCUCACUAGGGUUUAAGCUUCUGUCACUCUAGCAACCCAUCAUCUACUUAUUACUUCCCAAUGCCUUCCUCUAGGCCCAAAUAAUGGUGAAGUGUCGUGUAGUCGACAUUCACAUAACACCACUAGAGGAGAGACAACAUACAUAUCAUCAAAGUAUCGAACGAAUACCAAAUUCACAUGACUACUAAUAGCAAGACUUCACCCAUGUCCUCAGGAACAAACGUAACUACUCACAAAGCAUAUUCAUGUUCAUGAUCAGAGGAGUAUUAAUAUGCAUUAAGGAUCUGAACAUAUGAUCUUCCACCAAGUAAACCAAUUAGCAUCAACUACAAGGAGUAAUCAACACUACUAGCAACCCACGGGUACCAAUUUGUGGUUUUGGAUACAAGAUUGGAUACAAGAGAUGAACUAGGGUUUGAGAGGAGAUGGUGCUGGUGAAGAUGUUGAUGGAGAAUGACCCCCUCCCGAUGAGAGGAUCGUUGGUGAUGACGAUGAUGAUGAUUUCCCCCUCCCGAAGGGAAGUUUCCCUAGCAGAACAGCUCCGCCGGAGCCCUAGAUUGGUUCCGCCAAGGUUCCGCCUCAUGGCGGUGGAGUUUCGUCCCGUAAGCUUGCUUGUGAUUUUUUCCAGGAUAAAAGCCUUCAUAUAGCAGAAGAUGGGCACCGGAGGGCCACCAAGGGGCCCAGGAGACAGGGGGCCCGCCCAGUAGGGGGGGCACCCUCCUGGCCAGGGUGUGGGCCCCCUCUGGUAUUUUCUUCGCUCAAUAAUUCUUAUUAAUUCCAAAAGUGACUUCCAUGGAGUUUCAGGAUUUUUGAAGCUGUGGAGAAUAGGUUUCAAAUAUUUGCUCAUUUUCCAGCCAGAAUCCCAGCUGCCGGCAUUCUCCCUCUUCAUGGUAAACCUUGUAAAAUAAGAGAGAAUAGCCAUAAGUAUUUUGACAUAAUGUGUAAUAACAGCCCAUAAUGCAAUAAAUAUUAAUAUGAAAGCAUGAUGCAAAAUGGAUGUAUCAGUCCACUCCAUACGUUCCGCUCCCCCACGUCGAAUUAAAUUCCACUUCAACUAAAGAUAAUUGACGAGGUAGUAUGAAUGUUGCUUUGUUGUGAUGAUGAGACAAUUCAACAAUUCCCCUUGGAUUGUAAAUUAGCUUGUUUUGUUGGCACUGAAUCGAUGUUGCUUCGAACUUGCUAUUUUCCCACCCCCAUAGUAUCUGUCAUUUUUUUUCUUAUAAAUUGACCAUUUGUGGGUAAGUGGGUUUGCUUGCUCGUUAAAUUGUAUGUGUCGCCUUUUGCUGAUCGUGGCUAUGUAGGGAUGGCAUUACUUUCGAACAAAAAAAGAUUCUCCAAUCCGUUGCAGGUUACCUACUUAUGUGUUAACUAUCACAGUCUUGAUUUUUGUUGCAUUGACAUUAGUAGUAUUAUUAUUUGAUAGCUUGUGUUGCCCAAAGGAAUGUCAAUUGUCAGGGCUAUAUGUGCCUAUUUGGCUGCUUCCUUGUGACAGCCUGGUUUUUGCCUUCUCCCUUUUCCGGAUUUCUUUGCCUUUGGAUUUGCAGUUGAGUUUUUGAAUCAACUCAUUUGGACUCUCACACUUGGGCAUGUCCUUGAUUUUCACCCAAGUGACCCACCUCUCUCAUAAUCAUCAUUUCCUCUCUGAAAUAUCUCAAAAUGGCCCAAGGAAUAUUUUUCAUAAAUGAAAAAUAUUCAUUUUCUCCUCUGCCUAAUACUUCAGCAACAUAUGCUCCAAAGCAACCCUCAUUUUUAUUGCUCCUAAAAUUCUGAGAAAAUUCCCAAAUAUUCUUUGAACCUUGGUACACCUCCCUGUGCAAAAAUAUUUCAUGCUUAUUUGGAAUAUUUUUUCUACAGAAAAUCAUUUCUGUUCUGGCCUCAUAAUGCAGUUUCUACAGCAAGUGUAUUUUUCCUUGCUCUAAUGAAGCUGGGUUUUCUUGAGCUUGUUUACCCUCCUAAGAAAACCUUAACCCCAGAGAAUUAACCCUAAUAUCCUUCUAGAAGCUAGCCAAAUACAGUGCCAAAGUUUUUGACCAAAAACUUGCUCGAUAGCUCAUGUCUACUCUGGUUGGCCUGGCAGUGUAUGAUUUCUUCCCCUAGACUAAACACUACACGGACAACAUGAGAGACAAGGUUUGGCAUCGCGUGGCCAUCGUUUUGACCAUGCCAGCAUGGUGAUCACGUGAAGACACGGCCUCUGGCAUGCGUUCGAUGCGCUCUGUGCUGCGCUUGCGCUUCUGUAUAUCUCGUGCUCGACUCAGAGCUCACCGACGACUGCCGCACCACGCCACCUCCUUUGUCUCUUCUCCCUUGACCACUCGCUGGCGCUCGCCGAUGCCGGAGUCACCGCAACGGGCAUGGGCACGAUGCGGCCAAAGCCACAGUGCGCCCGUGCCACUGUCUUCAUCCGCGCGCCGCGCUCCUAUGCUCGUCCGCACACUCCACAGUCCCCGCAUGAAUGUUGAACCCCUCCACCCCUCGCUGACACCGCUCAUCAUCGCUCGCCGGCUUCUAGAGAGCUUUGGCGGAGCCAAGACCCCUCUUCCCCCUCCGCCUAUAAAUAGCGAGCCCCCUGGCCUCUCCAACCCAUCCAACCACUCCACCAGCCACCACACGAAGUAGAGGGAGCCGUAGCCCGGCCGGGCAGGCCUCGGGCCGCCGUGCUCAAGCUCGAGCUCGCCGACGAUCCCCUCUGCUCGCCCCCGUCCCUCCACUCCACCUCAAGCUCAACGGACUUCUCCGGCGACUCCUUGGAGGUCCUGUGGUGCCUGCUGACGCUGCUGGAGCCCCUGGAACUGCCCCUCUCCAUCAUCUUCUUCUUCUCCAACGAGUCUCGACCGCAGCCGCUGCUUGGGAGCUUGAUUCUGAGCUGCUCCGGUCACAGCUUGUCAAGCCACGGGUACAGGUAGGUGCGCCUCAACCCCCUCCUGCUUUCCCUCCCUCUCAAACCAGCCAAGAACCCCAGCUCGCCGGCGUGAGCUCCGGCGAAGUGCCGCCUCUACUCUGUUUCUCUCCCUCUCUCUCCACACCCGACAGGUGGGGCCCGUUGUCAGUCUCUCCACUCGCGCCCGAAGUGGUGCGAGUGGAGGCAUAUUCCAAAAAUACGCGUUCGACGUCACCCCCCUGGAAUUCUGUUAUUUGAUUUUAAUUUAAAUAUUUUUACAGAAACUUUGCACAUCCAGAACUUUUAAACCCUAAGUCCAAAUGAAUUGAUUCUUUCUGCAUUGUGUUCAUAUUGAAGAGAUCUAGCAGCACACCAAACUUGAGAUUUUUCUAUGCUGUCUAGAUUUUCUGGUGAAUUUCAAAAGGGUUCUUGAUAUUUCUUUGUGCUGUUUUUAAAUAUUUUCAGAGGGAGAAACUUGUCUUGAAGAUAACCAGGAGGAGUGUGAACCUCCUCUGCACUAAGGCAAGCCACACCAACAUUUGCAUGGUGUCACUCCAAUAUUUGUGAUUUUUCCAACUUUAAUAUGAGUAAUUUCAUGCGUUUAAUUAUUUACAUGAAUAUUGCUCAUGCUAGUUAUUUUGUCAUGAUUGAAAUGCUUAGUUUACAGUAAGAUUUGCAUGCAUGGACUAGUGUGAGGCAGUAGAGGUAGUUUUGUUUGUGUGGUGAUGAUUUGGUUAUGAUCGGUAAUAUUUUUCAUAUAGAGUUUUUGAGUUUAAUAUGAGAAUAACAUGAUUAAAAUGAUGAGUGCUAAAACCAGUAUACUAAAACCAGUGAAGCCUAAUGAUGACUAGUGCAAGUAGAAAACUUGAUGAUGUUGAUCUCUUUACUUGAAGUGAUAUGUGAUGCAUGUCGAAUAGUUGCAUGUUCAUGGCAUAUUGUGACUCGGGUUGAUUUCAUAUCAAGUUAAAUCUGAUGCUAAUCCAAUUUGAACAUAAUGUUGAUCGAGUCAUGGUGCCACUGAAUCGAGUUUUUCCCAGUGCAACCACAUUUGCCUUUAUGGGAAGGCUUUUAUUCGGUCCAUUGUCAUGCCUCUGGUCAGUACCUCCAUCGAGGGAAGGUUAUGGGCGUGCGGUACUCUGGCCCGGUAAGCAGACAUAACCUUGUGUGCCUGUUUGUUGAUAUGGUACCUUGUCCCCGUUUGGGACCGUUUGUUUUGCCACAACAGUGGCCGUUGAUGCCUUUGGUAGGCACGGGGCCACCCAUGACUUAGCCCAUAGGGGAGUUGGUCGGAGUGGCCGGGAGAGUGUCAUAGCAAUGGGAGGGUUUCGUCGGAAUGUCGUUGGUCCACCCGAAUGGGAGUGCGAGGCCAUGGAUUCCGUGGUGUGGGUACAGUGUACUAUCUCUGCAGAGUGUUUAUUAAUCUAUCGAUAGCCGCGUCCUCAGUUAUGGAAAUAGCUCGUGAGUAAGUCACGCCAUGGAUCAACAUGAUUAAGUAAUCUUGCACACUAAGUUUUUAUGCUUGGCACUGGGUAUUUGAUGAGAUUUGUGUGACCAUGGAGAUGAUCAGUAUUUGUGGGGACCGAAGUGUUUGUUCAAUUGUGAUCCGGGAGUGAUCACCUUUGAUGAGGUUAGUUACGAGGUAACCCGUAUGGUAAGAGAGUCCGAGGGACUCGGUGCAUAAGUUUGGCUUCACAGCAUCUGUAGCAUGUUAUCACAUUGCAUUUAACCUGAUUAAUUGUCAUGAUAUUGUUUGCCAUUGUGCUUAUGCUUGUUGUGAGCUUGCAAGUACAUUCAAUGUACUGACCUGGCGUGUCAUGCCAGCUUUCAGGAAAGUCUCACCGGAUCGGAGUGCUUUGCGAGUCUAGAUCGUGUCCACAUCGGUGUCCCUGUGCUAUGGAGUUCCGCUGCGUCGUCGUUCCGCUGCCACGUAGUUAUCAUGAUCGAGGCCCCUUCAUGUUCAUUAAAUAAUGUACAUAUUGUUCAGCCGCACCGUGUGUGCCGCUUGGCCUUGCAACUUGAUGUAAUACCGAACCUAUGUUUCCGCUAGCUUCAAUAAAACGGUUGCUUUUUGUACCAUGUUGUUGUGUGUUGCCAGAAAACUUGAUCUCUGGGCUAGCAAUACAAGGUAAACAGGUUGCUCUGAGCCAGGUAGGGCUGGAUUAACGAGCUGCUCGGCUCGUUCGGCUCGUUAUCAUUAAGCUCAUUAUCAUUAAGCUCGUUAUCAUUAAGCUUGUUAAAAUUAACGAGCUAAAACCUCUGUUCAGCUUGGUUCGUUAUGGGCUUGUUAUGCUCAUGAGUGUUCACGAGUGCUCGUUAAGGUAAUAAACAAUACCAAAUAAUCCCAUGAUCCAAUAAAACAAUCACAAUAGAAUAAGUUAAACAAGGAAUUAAGAUAAUAAACAAUAUAGAAGAAUCCCAUGAUCCCAUCAAAAAAUCACAACAACAUAAAUUAUGACAUUCGGUUCCUAGCGGCUGGCUCCUGGUUGACUCUAUGGUCUCCUUGCGGCUAGCUCCUAGGUCUACGAGAAGUGCUGAAGUGGGCUGGUGUGCUAUGCCCCUAAGCUGGGCUAACUAGCAACUCUUUUGUUAGUGGGCCGAUUUGAACUAGGGUCCUCAUGUCAAACUUUUGAAAAUUAGUGAGCUAAACGAGUUAGCUCGUGAAACUCGUUUGCUUCCUCGUUAAGCUCGUUAAUCUUAACGAGCAAAAAACACUCUUCGGCUUGGUUCAUUAACUAACGAGCACGAGCCGAAACAAGCCGAACUAUCGAGCGCUCAAUAUCCUCGCGAGCUUCGAGCUUUUCGUCCAGCCCUAGAGCCAGGGUGCCACAUUCCUUUAGCAUGAUUGAUGUUUAGCAUUAUGAUUUUUUACUUGCCACUUGCUUCGUCACUUGGUAGCAUCCUUUCUGGCAAUUCAGCUCCUUACAAGUAUAAUACAACACACAUGAAACAUGCAUAACAUGUACUUAGCAAGCGACAACUGUUUCUUUCAGCAUUGCAUUGAUCAUCUACCAUCUCAUGUCUUGCCACACAUGAAUAACUCGUUGGCCGAUAAGCUAGUUCCUACCUCAUGCAUGGCCUUAUUUGUUCCGACCGAGGCCUCACUGGAAUUGAGUAAAAAAGAACUAAUUUGUGUCCAUCAUUCGAAUUGAGUCACUAGUUUGUCACACGGCCUGUGCAAGUAUUUUCGGCCAAGUGAUCAUACAUGUGUUGUGGAAUAUUUGAAAGGAGCGGAAUAGGUGGAUUUUCAACGACACCUCCCAAUCCGUGCAUGACAUUGCUUUUCUAGUCAUGAAGGAUAUUAACCAAAUGCAAUUAGCCCUUUGUUACGGAGAUGUAAUAGCUGGUGCAGUUUCUUUCUUCCUUCUUAUUUGUCACAUAAAUAACUUCUAUAUUCCUCUUCCUAUCUUAAUGAAAUGGCCAGAGCACUUGCCUCCCAAGCCCAAGAAAAAAAAUAGGUGUUUGUCUAUCACUAUAUAUAUAUCCAUUAAAAAGCUAUACUGAAUCAUGUUCUUGUAUACAUUCCUAAAGAGCAUGAUUGGGCAAGGCAUAUCUACUCCUUGAUCCCUGCUUCCCUUGUUGCUGCUCCGUCCUUGAUGGAUUGAAGAACUGCCUUUAGUUUGCCUGCUUUUCUUGCACUAUUGCUGGAGCUAGAGUCUAGACAGCAUCACUACAUGAGAACAUCCUCAAUCAAACCUUUAUUUUGUUUUCCUUUGCCCUUGUGUCCUCGUCGGCGUGUCGAUCAAUCGUUCACUCGCUGGGGAAGGUAGACACUAAAGUUUGAUGCAUAUGUGAAUCCCUGGUCAAAGAUUCAUUCAUCUUUGUUGCGCUACCAAAAGAAGCUAGGAUCUUUAAGUUCAAUCAGGCUCCCACUCAAGUUGGAUGGUGCUCUAACUUUUUUUGCUCUGAUCUUGGAACAGAAAGAGAACUCGAUACAUUUUGCAUGGGCAAUUGUUUUCCAUCGCUUGCAUCACUGGCAAGUAUACUAGCCUUCACACCUAUCGGUCUUUCUUCUUUAAGGCUAUGGUAUGAGCUAACCUACAUUGCCUAGAUAGCAUUUGUAAAAUGUGAUGCAUAGCUUUUCUCCCCACUGAAAUGUGCACAGGUGCCAUGCCUAGCUAGCAAAGCGAGCAAGGCCUAUAAUGCAAAAGAAGGGUGCAGUAGUCUCAAACUAGAGAGGCAUAUCAUAGGGCUCAUUGGCUUGUCUGAUUCCAUUUGAGAUGGCCUCUUUAUUUCCCUGUCACGGGAAAGAUUCAUGAAUGGUCGGGGCGGCAAAGUGCAGUCAGCGGCUAGCUAGCUGCUCGCUGUGCUCCAUCGUGCAUUACGCAAAGCGCAAGAGGCUGUCGAUCACAAAGAGCUCUUGGCCGCCAUUGGAGUGCUCCAACUAAAUACAGUACGUACGAAAGGCUCUUGUGAUAAACUAACACACAGUCCGUUGGGGUUGUAGUAUAUGAUUGGAACGGAUGCAUGCAUGAUUGGGCAUUGUCAUAAGAAACGCCUUGGCUUUGUACCAGUAGUACCUGCUGGUAUGGUUAUCAACUCGAUCACCCGCAAAAGAGCUCAACCACGUUCGAUCAGUUGGGAGCAACGGCUCACCCUGCGAGCUAGGUCGACGAACGAACGAGACAAACCGGACAAAGCCGUCGCGUAAAAUAAUUAAGCGGCUUUCCGCAAAGGCGAGCGAUAGAUUAAAGGUGCUGCCGACAACCGACGUACUCGCCGAUGAGAGGCUCAGAGGGCGACGAGAGAGAAAACAAACGGGCCGGCGCAUGCAGCCUUUCGUUCUGCUUGCGAGUCGCGUAAGAGAGAAAGAGAGAGAUGAACCGACGGAGAUUAAACAGGGUUCGAGCACAGCAACUCCCACGCGCCGAUUUCAAACAAACACACGUUUUUCCUUCAAAAAAAACAGACACACGUUUUAUCUAUUUGGAUCGGAAGAUUAAGUAGAGUUCGAGGCCACGGAACUAAGAGCAACUCCAACGUGCUGGGCCAAACGGACGCGUGUUUUAUCCGUUUGGGUCGGCUCGUUCGUCCCUUCUGCGUUUGGGUCGGUCCUGCGUCCAAUCGGCCGAUCCAAUUCUCGUCCAUGCAAAAAACAAUCUGAAUUAAAAAAAGACCCGUCGCCAGAGAUCACGCAGUGGUCAUGCCAUCACACAGAGUUCAUGCUCGCGACAUGCCAGCUGCCGGCAUACAUGCAAGCCUAAAAAAAGCAAGCACUUCAUGCUGACGUACUUGCCAGCGACCGGCACACUUGUCAGCACAUAAAAAGGGCCAGGAGUUCAACCACGCCAUCUCGGCCGUGGACAUGCCGGCAUACAAAAAAAAAAUGGUGCUCUCCACCAUAGACCAAUCAUCAAGCCUGAGCAUGUCGGCCUGCAUCCUCUCGAACCAAGGCCUCUUCCUCGGGGACACCGUGCUCAAGUCCACUUUCAUGAUAUCCACCCCCUUCAUCAUGCAAGCGAGCACCACUUCUUUUGCUUUGGUCUUGGCAUUGUAGCCUCGAUCUUAAGCAUCUUCCUUUACUUCUCCGCCUCCAUCUCGAGCUUCUUCCUUUGUUUCUCCGCCUCCAUCUCGAGCAUCUUUCUUUGUAUCUCCAUGAAGGCCUUCAUUUGCUCUUCUUUGUCUUGCCGGUGCAUCUCCUCCCUUGUAUCCUUCAUUCCUUCUUGGUCAUCAUGCCUUCCAAAGUUGCAUGAUAGGAAAUCGAUGCGGCAUCACGCUUGUCCUCUUUCUUGGAGUUGGUCUUUCCCACGGCCGCAACUUCUCGCCUCACCAUGCGCCUCGACGGCUUUGUCCCCUCCACACGCCUUAAGGGUGGUAUAUUGCGCCUUGAACUUCUUGUCCCCGUUUAUGACCAUCCAACAAUGGGUGAGGUUGAACGACUUGUUCUCGUGUUGGGCCUUGAAUGCUUCCAAAGCUUGGAAUUCCUAUAGAAAAAUGGACAUGCAAUAUGGGCAAACGGACAUGCAAGCAUGAAACAAUGAAAACGAAGAUAAACGCAUAUACACCAUGUCUUUGAUGUCGAGGUCACUCACGGGGCGGCCCUGAUGCUCCCAAGGGUUUCACAAAACUUGUUGCACUCUUGUUGUAUCACUCUCCACGCUUCGAGAGGGACACCCACCCACGCUUGCUCUCCAUCUUAUACGGCGCGAACUUCUUGCGUUCGUGAAAUUCACGAUGAACUCGUAGCCAAAAGGUUGAUGCCUUUUGCUCGGGGCCGACCUUAGGGUCUUGUCCAAUGUCCCUCCAACAUUCACAAAGGAGUUUGUCCUCAUCCUUUACGUAUGCCUUCGUCCGAAUGCUUUGACGCUUCUUGUUUGCAUUGGCUUGGGCGGAGAGCUCGUCUUCGAGAAACAAGGGCUCCCCCUCGAUGUCCACUUCAUCUUCUUCUUCUAGGCCGUAGUCUUCCGGGAACUCAUGUUCUUGCGGAAAGUGUUGCCCAUGUCAUUUUGGCCUUGCAUGAAGGGGUUGGUCAUGCCUCCAUGGCCUUGAGCAAAGGUGUUGGUCGUGCCCUCGUGGUCGGCCAUGAAGGGGCGUCGGUCGUCUUGGCUUAGGGUCUCGUCGAGAUCGAAGGCCGCGCCACCCAAACCGCCUUUGAAGAUGAUGUUCUCAAUUGAAACAGUUGGUCGUCUCAUCGUCCGUGGCCGAUAUUGUGUCGAACAGGUUGCGAGCGUUGGGAUGCAUGUCGGAUGGGAUCUCCCGCGGGCGUUUCCUCUGCCCCCCACCGGCCACAAGUGUGGCGUUGAGGUCGAUGGCCAUGGGCGCAGGCAUGACCGGCGCGACCACACUCACCUUCAGCGAGCAGUGUUCGAAGGAACGGGGCGUCUGCGCGUUGUGGACGUGACCGGCGCGACCACACUCACCUUCCUCUUGGCCGACUGCAUGGCCCGCCGCGCAUCCGUCAACUCCUUUUUGGUUGGCGCCGCCGUUUUACAGGCGUUGCGGGGCUUGCCUUUGGCGGAGGCGAGGCCAGCGGCGGCGGCGAGGGUCGACGCGUCGUCCAUGGCGAGCGGCCGGGAGCGCGAGCGGGUAGGAGGUUUUUUGGGAAAGAGGGGAAAAUGGGGGUGGUUGUGCCGCCGGCUGGCGGGACAGGGGGGAGACUAGGUGGGCGUCACACGUGUCCGUUUCUUAUCUGCACCAACGCAAAUGCGUCCCAAAUUUAGGCCGGAAAUGAAUUGCGCGACGGACAAAAAGCAAACGCAUGCCUAUUUGGGUCACCGUGUUAGGCCGAUUUUUGUGUCCGUUUCGAUUGGAGGGCGGGGCGUUGGAGUUAGCUGUAAAGAGCAGCAGAGAUGGCGACCCCGAUGCGCUCGUGUGCGGUUGGUUGGACGAGCAGACUCAGCAGAGCAGUAGAGGAUAGCCAGGGCAGCAGCGCACAACACAAAUCUUGACAAGGCUAAAAAGUUUAAAUCGGAGACCUCCCAAGUCGUCGUAUGUAGCUCCACCGUGAUUCCAGAUUCUGAAUGAUCAAACACAUGGCACUAGGCCACUAACUACAGCCAUGUACCUCGGCAUUGUGUUGCACGUGGUGCACCUGAGCCCGUUAAGUAUACGUCCGCGAAAGUUCCUAGCGCAGCUGGCUUAUGCAUGUUUUGUGACACGUGUGCAGACCGCGUACCCGUCGGGAAGGAUGUGCGCUCUUCUGCCACAUGUUUUGUUUUGUGACACAUUCUAAUUCCAUUGAAACAUGAGUAUGAGAGCCAACACCUUCUCUUUUCGCGGGUGAAAUCAUUCCUUGAAGACCGGUAUCUGCAUUUGUUGUUUUGGUACGAUUCAUCCGUGGAAUGGAACCAAGAUGCUCGGUGCUAUGUGUGAGCGGGUCAGUUUGUGUGUGUGUGCGCGCGCGCUCGCACGCUUCACACACGAACAUGUCACCAUAUCACCCUUGGCGUCGAGCACGAUGCACAUGGCACGUCUUCGGGAGCAUGGUGCGGAAGAUAUAUUGGCGAGGUCUUUUGAAGAUUCGAAACCGCACACACCCGGAGGAAACCCGUCAAGAUGUGCGGUCGUUAUGCGCUGCCCUAUAUAUGAGACAGAUGGACUUCUUGUACAAAAAAAUGACUUAAAUUUUCUUCCAACAAGUCAACAAACGGACGAGGAUCCUCUACCGUACGGUAAGGUGCCGUUUGACCACUAACAUGUGGGCCCGCUGGGAACAUAGCCCACAUUUCAGUGGCCCAACGGUAUGCACCGUACGUCAAGGGAGUUGCUUCUGCCAACAAACCUUGUCCGACUCAGUCGAAAAAAAUAUGCUUAUGUUAAGAUCGAGCAUAGAGUCGAAAUAUUGGACAUAAGUAAGAACCCUUAUGUUAAAGUCAGGUACUGGGUCGAAUAUUUAGUCGAAAUGUUUGACAUGAUUUUUCAAGCUUCUGUGCUUGAGCUUGCUUCGGAUUUAUAGGUUCCAUAUGACACUGGAUUAAGAUGAUUCAGUCUCAGACAAGACUAAGAACUUUCAUGUUGAUCACUUUCCCAUUUGAAGCCAUCUUGAAGACUCAAAAACAUUUUUUUGAAUGCAUGAACAUUUAUAAAAUUCAUGAUUUUUUUGAACCAAUGAAGUUUUUCUGAAAUUCACGAUCAUUUUUUCAUUUUUAAAUAUUUUUAAAUUUUUCAUGAAAAUUAUUUGUAUUCAUAAUUUUUAUUCAAUUUGAUGAGUUUUUUCAAUGUGCGUAUAUUUUUCAAAAUCAUGAGCAUUAUUUGAGUAUGCAGAAAGUUUUUAAUAAUCCCGAGCAUUUUUUAAAUCCACGAACAUUUUAUAUUUCUUGACCAUCUUUUUCGAAAUUAUCCUUUUUUUAUUUUCAGAACUUCCUUGAAAUCCCAAAUUAUUUAAAUUAGAAAAAGAAUAGAUAUUAAGAAAAGAAAAGUAAGAAACAAAAUCUACUAUAUCUACAUAGGAGCCCCCCACUACUAGGAAUUCUUUAACUUUUUCUUAAGCCACAUCACCUCAAUUAACUUUGGCCAUCGAUUCAAGACACACAUCAUAGAUAGCCAUCAGAUUAGAGGCGACCUCGGCGAGGCACGUUCCCGAGCCGCAUACUACUGUGUUGUCUCGCAUGCCCAUAUGACUCGUGAUCUUUCGACGGCUCAUAUGUUCUGGAACUAACGCAGGCAUCCAAAGAGACAUGACUGAUCGCCUCUCCAAAUCUUGGCAAGUGCCUAUCGCAUCCUCAUCCCCUUUCAAAUCUUGCUCGAUGCAGAAGGGAUAGGAGGAUGAUGGAGGAGGAUAUAGAAGGAGUGGCCGCGGGCAGGGGAUGGGAGGAUCGCAUCUCCCCAACAUGCUGCCGCAACAGCAUCUGAGCUUGCUGCCGCUGAAGUCGCCCAUCUGCGUAGCGCGGCGUCUGGAAAGAGCGGCCGCCUGUGUGCUCCCCGUCCGGCCUCUGAGUACCUCCGGCCGUCGGGCGCGCCCCCAUGGCUUAGACGGGGGACCAACUCGAGUCCAUCGACAUGUGGGGAGUUCUGAUGAAACGAGAUUUGCGCUGUUGCCGACUGCCGUCCAACUACAAUCUCCUAUCGAGUCCAAUCUCCCAUUUGCAGAGGUAAAGUUCAACCUUAUUCGUCAUCCCUUAACACACCAUGCUCCGACCCCGAGUUCCUAUAUCCCAAGCCUUCAAAAUCUUCUCAGCAUACAUGCGUGCUACAGCCAGCAAUCCCAAUCUUUAAGGCUAAUCAAGCCAAAAUAGAGGUGUCUGCACAUCAUUUUUUAGCAGAUCGAACUGCCGACGUACUUGAUGACGCCACCGAGGCACUAUAGCGGACCGGUGACACUGCCGUUUGAGUUCUCCGCACUUCAAUGUCAGGCAAGUCAUCCCAAACAUUAGCUCACAUGCUUUGUUCUUGGAUCUACUCCCUCCGUUUCAAAAUAGAUGACCCAACUUUGUACCAACUUUGAAAGGAGUACUAUGCAUUCUGUGAAGCGUCUGAGGUCUUUUUUAACUAAAUUUGUUUGACGUAUAUGAGCCAAAAUAUGAGGUUUCUCUUAGCAUAAACAGAGGCGAUGUAAUCUAUUUAGUCUUCUACCUUUUGUAAGCAUCAAGAUGCACAUGUUUUUAUGUUCUAAUGUCCUUUCUUAUUUAGGGAAUUUAUUCGUCCUCAACCCCUUUUUUCAGUUCCCAUGUUGACAUUUUCCACCCGAUGUUGCAUUGCAGUUUCAUGUUGAGAUGGAAGGCUAACUCUCUGUCCUCUGAUCUGAUAGAUGAGAAUACGUAAGUUGAGUCUUUAUGGUGCAUGGCAUUUGUAAUUCUUUUUAAUUUCAAUUGAAAAAAUAUUUACAGCUAUUUUAAUGUACAUUCAGUACAAUUUACAAUGGUGUGCACAUAGACAGAGUUCAUAUUACAGCUGAUGCCACAGACGUAAUAUUUAUGGCUAGCUAAUUUUUAUGGCCUCUUACUACCCACUGGAGGUAAACUCAUGUUCCACCAUUUUGUUAGCAAGAUUGCAUUAUUUUUACAUGGAUCGCACUAUUGUGCAUUGCUGAAGAGAACAAAUUACCUUGGCAGAAAUUCAACUAAAUCAAAUAUAUAGCAACAAAUUCCCGCAGCAACGCGCGAGGUAUUAUCUAGUUAAAAAACAGGAUGCCCGCACAUGGGCUCGCCCAAAAGGGCGUGCUAGGGGAGCGAUGGAUGCGCGUUGCGUCUCCUCCCAGCGCGCCAUGUGCGAUAUCUGAGGUCCUGGUUGCGAAGACUAUGCCUUGCUUAUUGGGAGACCGAACAAGACUCCCCCUACAACGCUCGUUCCAUGGGUCGGCCUAACAAUAGUUCCCUCUGAGGUUUUGAGAAGCUUCCAUGUAGAGAAGUCGUUGGCUUUGGAGCCAUCCAUGCGGUUUUCUUUCGUCUUUUUUGUUUCUUUAAUUUUUUCAUGUUUUUCUUUUUCUUUCUUCUUUCCAUUUUUACUAUUUUUACUAUUUUUUAUUUUUUUUCCUUUUUAAUUUUGGUUUUUUAAAUGCAUUUCGACCCUUUGAAAAUAUAUGGUGAUUUUUUUCAUACAGGUUCAACCAGGGACGGAUUAAGGGGGGGACGAGGGGGGGCGAGACCCCCCCAACGAUCGCGCAGUCCCUUGAAACUGAUCACAUGAUCGCUAGUUUUUUUACCCGUGUGCUUGCUUGCAGCCUGCUUCGCCCCCCCUAUUCCAAUCGGCCUUUGUAUAGUCCAUUCAACCAGUGCAGCCCAUUUAAAAUUUACAUGCUAAAGGCACAAGACUGAGCCGAGCAGGCCCUCUGGCCUGUUAGUUAGGCACGCACCAGCCCAUGAGGCCAUGACUACGCACGCUUCACGUAGCGACCCACGUAUCACCAAUCUCUUCGUCAGUUCGUUCGACUGUUCGUCUCCAAAAAAAGCAGCGAUCGCCGAUCGGAUCUCGCCGGCGCGCCGCCAGCGCCCGUCGCCGUCGAGAAGCAAGGAUAGGAAGGGGACGCCGCAACGCCCGGACAGGCGCCAAUCCACGGACACGUUGCCGGCAGCCCGGAGGCCGGAAUCAUGGACAGAACGACGGCGGACGACGGGAUAAGCGGCAGCAACACAAGGGGAAAAGGUAAUUUGAUUCUCACAUGGAUUAGUAGUUCAUGCCUUUAAAAAUUGUAGAAGUAUAAUCAUACAAACUAUAGGCCUUAAUCAUCAAUAUAAAAUUUUCAAUUAUUUUGUGCUUGUGUAGACAUGAAGAGGAAGAGAGAAUCAAUUCAUAAAUAUUUCAAACCCGUUGGUUCAAGCUCUCGGCCAUCAGAACAUGAUGCUACUGCAGACAAUGCUGAACCUAGUGAACAGAACCAGCCUAAUUGUACUGAUGGGGAUGCUCAAAUUGAUGAUGUUUCCGUUCCAGAAGCUACAGAAGAAGCUACAAUUAUAACCACAAGUUAUGACCGAGAGCCCGGGCGACGUCUUCAAAUUUGGCAACUUCCUCCUGACGAGCAUGAUGCUUCUAGGCGUUUUUAUAUAUCUAAAGGGGCCUAUCAACCAAUCUUAAAGCCAGAUGAGUAUGAAUUUACUGGGAUAGGGGCUGGCCGUAGGCGAUUCCAAAGUGAUUGGUUCACAAAUCAUUUCUGGUUGGAGUAUUCACCUCUAAAAAUCGUGCCUAUUGUUUGCCUUGUUUUCUCUUCUCAAAGAAGCCUAUUGGGAAGUAUGGUUCGGACACAUUCACAGUCAGCGGAUUUGAUAAGUGGAAGAAAGUUAACAAUGGAAAAGAAUGUGCUUUUCUCAAACAUAUGGGCACUACUCCUAGCUCGGCUCACAAUUUUGCAGUUGGGUGUUAUGAAAACUUGAGAAACAGAAUUAAUCAUGUUGAUGAGGUGAUGAAAAAGCAAACUAAGCAGCGGGUUCUUGAUGCAAGACUAAGGCUAAAGACUUCCAUUGAUGCCAUGAGGUAAGCAAGAAUUAUUUAAUUUCGAACAUUUACAAUUUCUUAAUACUGGACAUCUAAUUAUUAUUCUAUGUUGAUUGCAUCAAGUGGCUAAUGUUCCAAGCAUGUCCCUUUAGAGGAAAUGAUGAGUCCGAGGGUUCCAAGAACCAAGGUAAUUUCAAGGAAAUGAUUAAGCUUUUGGCUUCUUAUAACAAGGAUGUACGUGAAGUUGUACAGAAUGCUCCAAAAAAUGCAAAGUACACCUCAUCAACUAUUCAAAAGGAAAUUGCUAGCAUAUUUGCUGAAAAAGUGAAGACCUCAAUUAAAGAAGAACUUGGUAAUAGCAAAUUUUCUAUCUUGGUUGAUGAAUGUAGAGAUGAGUCUAAAAAAGAGCAGAUGGCAGUAGUUCUUCGAUUUGCAAACAUAGAAGGGGUGAUAAGAGAACAUUUUCUUGAUCUUGUUCAUGUUAGAGACACUAGUGCUUUGACUCUCAAGAACACAAUUAUUGCCGUCCUAGUUGAUAAUGGGUUGAAUGUGCAAGAUAUUAGAGGCCAGGGAUAUGACGGGGCAAGCAACAUGAGGGGGAGUGGAAUGGGCUGAAAGCUCUAAUUCUCAAUGAGUGCCCUUAUGCAUAUUAUAUCCAUUGUCUUGCACAUCAACUCCAAUUGGCUCUUGUUGCUGCUUCAAGGGAGGUACAUGAGGUCCAUAAUUUUUUUCAGCAUGCAAAUUUCAUUGUAAAUACCGUUAGUGCAUCUCCCAAACGCAAUGAUGAGCUAUUAGAAAAUCAGGCUGCUGAAAUUGCUAGAGAGAUUGAAUUGGGAGAGCUUGACACAGGAAGAGGGGCCAAUCAAAUAGGAUCUUUACAAAGGGCCGGAGACACGAGAUGGAGUUCCCACUACAAAUCUAUCAAAAGUUUGUUAAAGAUGUUUGCCGCAACUGUUACAGUGCUAAGAAGUGUAGCAGCUGAUCGUUCAGCUACAAGGAACUCAAGAGGUGAUGCUGGAGGUUCCCUGAAAAUCCUACUCACAUUUGAUUUUGUGUUCAUUCUACACUUAAUGGAAAGAAUCAUGAAAAUCACGGAUGUCUUGUGUCUCAAACUUCAACAUAAAUCUUUGGACAUUGCAAAUGCAUUAGAUUGUGUUUCUAACACAAAGGUGUUGCUUGGUGAACUAAGGGAAGAUGGAUGGGACAGCCUUUUUGAAGAUGUGAAAUCCUUUUGUGUGAAACAUGAGAUUGACAUCCCGAACAUGGAUCAAAAGUAUGUAUCUUUUCCUAUCUCUCUAUGAUUAUUUAAAUUACAAUGUAGAGAUUUAGUCACUUACAUACUUACUCAUCAAUGUGUAGAUCAUGCAACUAAUUCAUAUUUUUCAAUAUAUAUUAAUUUUAGGUAUGUUGAUGUGACAAAAUCUCGAAAUAAGCAUGACAACACCACAGUUAUCCAUCAUUACAAAGUAGAUGUGUUUAAUGUUGCAAUAGAUCAACAAGUGAUAGAGUUGAAUGAUCGAUUCAGUUCUCAAGUAACUGAGCUACUAGAUCUUUGUUCAUCAUUGGACCCGAGGCAUGAUGCCUUCAGCAAGUCAAAGAUAUGCAGACUAGUGGAGAAAUUCUAUCCUGCAGAUUUUUCUAGUCAAGAAAGAGAUCGGUUGGAGUGCGAGCUACCACAUUUCCAGCUUGAUACAUUCAACCAUCCAGAGAUCAAGAACUGCAAAUCACUUGCUGAUCUAACAAAAGGAAUAGUUAAGACUGGCAAGUCUUCUGACUAUCCAAUGGUUGAGAGGUUGUUACGACUGGUCAUAACUCUCCCGGUGUCAACCGCAACCGCAGAGCGAGCCUUUUCUGCAAUGAAACUAGUCAAGACGCGGCUUCGAAGCAAAAUGGGAGAUGAUUUUUUUGCCAUUGCACGCUAGUUUACAUUGAGAAGGAACUUGCAGCCAAGUUUAGCUCUGAAGAAAUAAUCGAUAUCUUCGAUACUGGUGCUCGUAAAGCAGAAUUCAAAUUGAUAGAAAUGUAAUUUAUUCUUAGUAUUGAACAAUAGACGUAUAUUUACUAUCUAGAUGUUCUAAACCCUAUUAUUUACUAUGGUAUCUUUUCAUAUAUCCUGUGAUUUUUUUCGGCAAAUAUAUCCUAUGAUUUUGAAGCUUUUUNNNNNNNNNNNNNNNNNNNNNNNNNNNNNNNNNNNNNNNNNNNNNNNNNNNNNNNNNNNNNNNNNNNNNNNNNNNNNNNNNNNNNNNNNNNNNNNNNNNNNNNNNNNNNNNNNNNNNNNNNNNNNNNNNNNNNNNNNNNNNNNNNNNNNNNNNNNNNNNNNNNNNNNNNNNNNNNNNNNNNNNNNNNNNNNNNNNNNNNNNNNNNCACAUUGAAUACAUUUCAAAUACACGAUGUACAUUUACUGAAUACAUGUUAUUUGUUUUGCAAUCAGCUAACAUUUUUAAACGCACAUUGAACAUUUUAAAAAAUGUCAUAAAUAGUGUUUAAAACAUGUGAAUAUUUAUUAAAUUUUUAUGAAUAUAUUUUUUAUUUUGAUAUUUUUUUAAAAUUCCACGAGCAUUAUUUUACAUUUCAUGAACUUUGUUUUUAGCUGCCACGAACAUAUUUAAAAUGUGUAAACAUUAUUUUAAAUGUAUAAACAUGUUCUUAGAAAUUACUCAAACAAAUGUUUUACAUUUUCAUGAUUUUUGUAUAUGUUUACAAAUAUAAAGAAAAGUAAAAAUAAGAAAAAGGGGUAAAAGAAAGAAAUGAAGUGAGUGAAGAAAUGAACAAAGAUGCUACUUGGUCGUCCCGCUAGAGCAUUCAACCGAGUAUUACUCAUAACGAAUAAUGAGCUAUAGCCCACAGGAGGUCUCCGAAAUUUUGCAAAAUAAAAAUAUGUUGAAAAAUUGAUGUCAAACUUUUUUAGCACAAUUCUCAAGGUUUUUAUUGAUUGUUAAUCAUCAGAAUACAAACUGCAUCAUGAGGUAGACCGAGUCAAGUGUGUCUACCCUGAUCUAAAAAAGAUGCAAACCUAGCUAGAUUGUGGGCUUCAUAGUUUGAGCCUCUAUUUCUAUGGACAAAAUUACAUAGAGUAAAGAAGAUUUCAGUCUUCAAAUUUCUUUGACGACGACUUCAUAUUUCCCUCCUUGUCCAACAGCAAUGUCGUUCACCACAUACCUAUAGUCUGAUGCCACAUGCAAUCUCUGAAGAUAGAGAUUCAUAGCCAAAGCAAGUCCUUGGCGAGAUGCCAACGCCUCAAGCCUAAUAUCUUUUAUGCCAAAUUUAAUUAUUAUUUUUUAGGCAUGAUGCCACAUUUGCUAUACAACUUUUUUUUGAGUGGAUACAUUUGAUGUCCAACUUUUUUCUUGAGGGGUACAUUUGAUGGGGAGCUCCUAUUCGGCGCUGGGAAGCUCCCUGGCGCCCAUGCGCCGACGCUGGUGGGCUGGCCAUGUACAUUUCACAUUUUAUUUUUCCUCUGGUUCACUCGAUUGCAUUUAAAAAAAUUCGCAAAAAUAUAUAAAAACUAACGUGAAUUGGAAAAACUUCACGCAUUUUGAAAAGAAGUACAUGAACAUGAAAAAAAGUUUGUGAUUUUUAAAAAACUUCAUCGAUUUUUAAUUUUAAAAAAUGACAUUGAUUUUGAAAAAGUUCAUCCAUUUGGAAAUAAAGUUAUCGAAUUUAGUUAAAGUUCACCGAUUUUUAAAAAAGGUUUAUCAAUUUUUAAAAAAAAUCUCCAAUUUUGUAAAAAGUACAUUUUUAAAAGAAAAAUCAUCAAAUAUUCACGAAUUUGUAAUAAAGUUCAUGAAUUUGAAUAAAAGCUCAUGGGUUUUGGAAAAAAAGGUUCAUCGAUUUUUAAGAAAAAUUUCAUCAACUUAGAAAGAAUCCGCGGAUUUAAUAAAGAAUAAAAAGGAAAAAGCAAUAAAAAAAGAAAAACCGAAUUAAAGCGCCCAGAAAAAAAGCCACGAACGAACUGCCAUUCUGUUUAGUUGGCGAGCCCACUUCUCCUUCCCCAGGAAAAACUCCGCGCUCUUCGGUCUCAGUCAGAAUUCAGAAAGAAACGGACAAAAAAAGAAAGCGAGACAAAAAGCUCCGCCGUUCGGACGAGACACGACGACCGGCGUUGCCGCGCUCUCGGCCGCACCGCAUGCCGGCUCCCGCCACGCUCGCCUCCUUCAACGCCCUCGUCGCCUCGCUCGCGCGCUCCGGCCGCCCCUCGCAGGCGCUCCUCGCCUUCCGUGACAUGCUCGCGCGGGGUUUCCCGCCCGACCACUUCACCCUGCCCCCGGUCCUCCGCUGCUGCGCGCUCACCGGCUCCGCCGCCCUGGCCGCCUCCUCGCACGCCCUCUCCGUCAAGCUUGGCGCCCACGGUAGCCUAUUCGUGGCGUCCGCGCUCGUGCAGUGCUACGCGGGCAUGUCCAACCUCCCCGACGCGCGGAGGCUGUUCGACGGAAUGCGCGAGAGGGAUGCCGUUCUGUGGACGUCUAUGCUGUCCGCGUACGCGCAGGGUGGGCAGCCAGAGGAGGCUCUGCGGUUGUUCCAGGGGAUGGUGGUGGCCGAGGUGCAGCUGGACGCGGUGGUCAUGGUCAGCCUUCUUCUCGCGUGUGGCCAGCUCGGGUGGCGGCGCCAUGGGAGAAGCGUGCACGCGUGCUGCGUCCGGAUGUUCCUGGGGAUGCCGCUGUCUCUGGGGAAUGCGCUUGUGGACAUGUACGUCAAGUGCGGUGAGCUUGAAUUUGCCGAACGCGUAUUUUCUGUGAUGCCCAGGCGGGAUGUUAUCUCGUGGAGUGCUCUGAUUGUUGGCCAUGGUUUGAAUGGCCGUCCGGAUGUUGCUUUGAGGCUCUUUGAUGAAAUGGUGGCCAAAGGAGUGGACCAGAACUCGGUCACCUUUCUUGGUGCCCUGUCAGCCUGUGCGCAUUCAGGCAUGGUGGACAAAGCGUAUGCUAUAUUCGAUCAGAUGAAACAGCGGGGCAUCAAGCGUGAGCUUAAGCAUUACUCUUGCAUGGCUGAUGCGUUAGGGAGGGCAGGCCGUGUUGUUGAGGCAGUAAAUCUCAUAGAGGAAAUGCCUUGCCAGCCUGACGAGGCUAUCCUUGGCAGUGUAUUGGCAGCUUGCCGAGUGCAUGGUGAAAUGGACGCUGCUGAACGGAUUUCAAAGAGAUUGAUGAGCAUGUCUCCUGCAAAGAGCGGCUACUACAUGAGCUUGGCAAACAUAUAUUCAGAUGCUGGAAGGUAUGAUGAUGCAGAGAGAAUAAGAGGCUUCAUGAAGGAAGUUAAAGUCGACAAGCUUCCUGGAUAUAGUUCAGUUGAACUCGAUGUUUCUGUCUCUGAAUCAAAAAAUGUAUAAUUAGCUCCAUAUAGUGCGCAAUGGGUUUUGAAGCACUUGAGCUGUUUGGCAAGCCUGGUGGCAUACACUCUGUGCAGUGUAUGCUUUGAAGAAAAAUACAGGCACCUGGUGGAUGGGAAGUGCAAAUGAGAUGACUUGGCAACUCAACAAGACAGUUUUGGGGAGGAUUAUAACAGUACAGAGAGAUGCUGAGUUAGUGGACUCAUAGUGGAAGUGUUUGAUUAUGACAUUAGCGACAUGGUACUUGCUGAGUUAGCGUUGUCAAAUUGUGAAGUGUCAAGAGGUGUGCGGAAGGCAUUUCUUCGAGCAGACAAGGACAAAAUUUAAGAGGCUGAUGAAACAGCACAUGAUGAUUAUAUACAGGAAGCACACAGUCCUCCUACAUGUACUUCAGUUAUGAGAGAACAUAUGGCUUGUGCUUGAUGAGUUGCUAAUGCAAUGAGGUUCAAAUAGCUUCUGAAACUGACAGGAUUAUCAUCAAAUAUGUGAGCGUCUGACCAGCACGGUGUAAUUAAGAUCGAUCUUGUAUUCACAGGAAAGUCUUUAAGAAAUGCAUUGCUGGUACUACUUGCAACUGUAAGCUUAUUCUCUGGUAGAACUUCUCUUUUCAAAAUAUGAUCUUACGAUGGAACUGGAUUAACAAAAGGAACGCAAUAAUGUUC